rnacentral:lncRNA from 1 species
CUCAGUGCUGAAGACCAUGUGCCAAGUCUCUCCAGGAGCAUCAUCACCAGUGAUCUUAGUGUUUAGAAGGCAUCUGCCAGUGUACGGGUUCUUUGGCUUGAACUUGUUCACGACAACACCCUCCUCAUUUUUCUUGGAUUCCUUUACAACUUUUUUGGCAGGAGCCUCGGUCGUAACCUGGGCUCUGACAGAAACCACUCUCCCUCCACUGGAAACAUCUCUGUAGUAAACAGGAACCUGAAAAAACCAAAAGCAACUGAUAAAACUUCCAAUAUAUUGAGAUAAGAUAACAUACAUAUUUUACCAUUAGAAGUAUGAUAGUUUUACCUUCUUGAAGGUGAGUCUUUCUGGAGAGAUGAUCGAGAUUCUAGCAGGAAGAGAGGUGGACUUGGUAGAAGGAAAAGAGACUGCAGCAUUUACAGCAGCCAUGUUUUUGACAAUGAAGGAAGAAGAAGAAAGUACAGUAGAAAUUGCUGUUUGAUGGUUUUUGUUAGUGAGGAAGUGAGGUGAAGGAAACAAAAGGAUGUGAUUUUUUUCUCUAUUUGAUUGGUUUUGGAUCAUGAAUUGGGUGGAGGAGAUUUGAUGGCCAAUGCAGUGGCCUCUGUGAGGAUAAGUCCAUGUGUAAAUGUAUGACUCUUACACCACCAUAACGAGUUCUUUCUAAGCCACUUAACUUCAUUGAUUUUUGAUUCACCUUGUUAUAUGGAAACAGUGCUGAUGGUUCACUAAAAAUAAAAAUGCCUAUAAGAAAUUGAUAUGGGAUUCUUGUUUUCCAACAAAAUAUUCACAAUAAUAUAAUUAAUUGAUUAAUGUAUAUUGCACAUGUUUCUCCAUGGGAAUUUAGAGUGACAAUUACACAACUUGAUUCAAAGCGAUGAAUCUCAAAGGAUUGAAAGUUGGGUACAAAACAAAUUUGGGCUCCCUUAUCUCAGUCCACCAAGGCAAUUCAUGGGCAAGCUGUUAGCCCCAUCUAAGAAGUCCAGUUUGUUGAUUAGAAUCACAGGUCAUGGCCCAAGCAAUCAGUCCAAUUGGCCUAUUCAAAGCCCACUGCUCUUCGUGCAAUGGCUAAUUCCCUGAAAGACAGGUAUCUACCAGAAUCCUAGCUUUUGACCUCUAUGAGUUAAUUUUUCAUGUUUCACGGAUUAGAAGUUGGUAUUUCGACCUCUCUUUAGCGUGACUUCAGGUUUCGGAAAAAGAAAAGCAAAAAACUAUUGCAGAAGAUAGAAGCAAACAAGCACUAAUUAUCACCUUUACUGCAGGAUACUUGUGUGAUUUGAGAAAAGAUGCAUCUUAAUUUUAUCCAAGAUAACUUUCAGAUGGAAACACUGAAUUAAUGCAAAUGAUGUGAGUUAGGUGGUAGAUGUGGAAAUGAGGGGGGCUUGCUGACCUGUUUUAGAGGGAAGCUGCACCAUGAAUCAUUAACAGUUGACUAGUAGAUUUGAAAAAAAGAGUAAAUUUGAUAUCAGUUACAACCUUCGAUUAUCACUCAAACUAAGAAUAGCCCACAUCUGUUUUUUAAGUAGGGCAAGCUUUAACUAGAAAUAGUGUUGCCAGCUGGUGAAUUGACCUUAGCCCUUACUAAUGAUGAAUUUCAUGUCUUUUCUGUGUGCAGUUUCUCUGGUGACUGAACCCAAAGUUAUGGGGUAACAUGCCCAAUUACCUGAUGGCAAAGAUUGUCAAAAAGAAGAAAGAAAGAAAGAAAGAAAGAGUGAUGGAAAAGAGAGAUAGUAGUAAGCAAUUCACGUUUUCUGAAAUAUGGUGAAAUUUCAUCGUGACCACCUGGCAUUCUGAAAGGUGUUAUCAUUUUGACAUCUGCCCAUGACAUAAUACAGCCCUGACGCAGAAGGAUUGCAGGGCUUGGGAUUUGAUUCUUUGCUUGCAACAAAAAUGGGGUACCACACAAGAAGAUAAUAGUAGUAAUUCUAGAGAUUAUUAGGUAAGUCAUACUAGACCUGUUCAUUCGAGUUGUCGUGUUAUAAUCGCAAGAUAUUUAGAUGAGGCAUCAACAGUUAGAGCUCAAUAAUUGUAUUUGCAAAGGACAUUAGCAUGUGAAUCUUAAAUUCGAAAGUGAUGUGUGUUUCAUGUGAAUCUCUGGCUUAGCACCUCAACUUUUUUUUCCAAACUCAAAGUGUCUCUUUUAAAAAAGAUGAAUUCGAUCCCCAGUUACCAAAAACUUUAAAAAGAAAGAAUGUCAUCUCAAAGGAGACAACACUGUAAGGCAGACUGCAAAUGGGGACAAAGAAUCGUGCAAUCCACUUUCUGCCUGACAUGCCACCACUUCCGGGAAAAUGUUUCAGCACAGAAGGGCAGACUCGCCAUCUGCAAAACAUUUUGCAUACACGAAGAUGACAGAUAGAGCAAAACAAAUCAAAUAACCAUGAGUUUCAAGAUUUGUUGACCAUCCUUUAAGCUUGGGUAAAUAUCUGCUUUUGGCUCUCUAUUGUUCAUGAAUAUCAACAGAUCAACUGUGGGAUUCUUCCCAACUUUCCUUCAUGGCAACCUCAAAUUGACUAGAUAGUAUUUUGGGAAGGCAUAAAUCCAGUCUUCUUUUGUGGGUGGAUUAGGCCAAGUAUGGAUCCUUCCCCACUUGGGAAUUUUUUAAUUUAUAUUUUGGAACAGGGCAAGUUUGACCAAGGCUUUGUGAGGCUGCUUUCAACCUAUUGAUCAGUGAUGAACCUAUUAAUGAACAGUUUAACUUGCGAUUAUUAUUUUAUUAAAAUUUUAAUAUUUUUGUUGUUUAAAUGGAAGAGAGAAUGGAAGGUCUGUUUUUGAGCGAUUGUCUUCCGCUCUUAGAGAGCGUAACCGGAUUGGCAACAUCGCGGACCUGGAUUGAGUAUUUUUGAAUAAAAUAGGAACAGAGGGAGCAAAGAAAUGGACGUUUCUCAUGUGAGCACAUGUUACUCAUUCUUAAUUUUUUUUCUCGGAGCCACUUGUUAAAAAGGUAGUUAGAUGCAGUCAGCCCUAGGAAAAUACAUGGCAGAAUCAAAUUCCUGCGGGUAGCAGGGUAGGUUUAUUGGACGUUUGACGACGGAAUCAGCUGACAGAAAGAACAACAAAAGGCAGCAGUUCAGACCAGUCGGUUUGAAAGAGUCCAAGUCUCUGAGGUUUGAGGUUGAAUGGUUCUUUCAUGGUGGCUAAAAAAAUCUCAGGUCAACAGUAGCUUGACAAUUAGCAGUUCACCUUCAAAUCAAUGACAAGUCCCCCCUUUUUUCUUCUUCCAGAUAAGAAGCAAUCUUUCAAGACAACUUUUCCCUACCUUAUCUCAUUUUCGAGCUGUUCCAACCAAGGUUGUCACCAGCCUAUCAAUCAGUAUCAAUAAUGCAAACAGUAUCCUUUUUGGAAAAAUAUAAAUAAAUUUAAUUUUAUAGGCCAACAAGCAAUUGUGAUUCCCAAGGGCAGAAUUUCCAAAAUGAACAAAAAAAAUGUGGAAUACAUGAUAUGACCCGACAAAUAUUCAUGAACUCAUCAUGGAAACUCCUUUUCUGGCCUUACAACCAGCGAUGCAACAUUGGUGUGGACACAGAAAAGAAGCAGGCAGCAAACUCUGCAAAAUGACUGAAAAUACUUAUGAUCAUAUAUGGAAGACCUCUAACUGUAUGUACACUCACAAUAGAAUGAUGAAUUUGGAAGCAAAAUGAUGGGAAAUUGUUUUUUCAAUAAAGAGAUUACAUUUGGAGAGGCGAUGGAAUCAGUGAAAUCCCCUUGAACCUCUAGACUGAUACAGCUCCAAUCUACUUUUGGCCUCUUGCAGAAGUGUGUCUAUUGUCUCAUCCUGGGUCAUGUAGGAUUGCUUGGAUGCCCAUUCAAGCACUGUAAGCACCUCAGCUUGGGCAAGUUCUUCGCUAUCCGGUACAUGGAGGGCAAUGUAGCAUAGGAGAACUAGUGCUGAGAGUUGAACAAUUUGUUCCCCAAAAUAAACCAGCUGAAUCAAAUGUUUUGCACCUCCUGCACUAAUGAUUGCCUUAGAAUGAUCAAGGUGUAGAUAGUUUUCUGUGCAAGCAAAAUUGGUAAGUGCAACUGCAGCCUCCUUAGAAACAUCAGCUUCCCUCUCGUCAAGAAGUUUAACCAAUGGGGCAAUCACCCUUGUUUCCGUCGCUCUGAACGUCCUUGCCAAAUUACCGAUAGCCUUGAUACAAGGGAUCAGGAGCUCCGAAUCAGCUUUCUCAAUGAUCUUCAACAGCUGAUCGACAACAAGCUUGCAAGCAUGCGAAUUCGGCUUAAAUGCAGACCUUCUCAAAUCAGUAUCCCGCUCUGCCACAGCUGUAAUCUCCAUCAAUGCCAUGGCCGAGUUAAACUGCACGUCAUCGGUUCCUUUUUCUAACAAAACCGCGAAACACAACAACGCUCUAGACUCAGUAAUACUCCGACAAAUAGGCGCAUUCCCCUUUGCAAGAUGCCAUAAAGCUCUAGCUGCCAUUGCCUUCAUGUAAGCCUUGGUAGCAGGAUCUUCCAAUUCCCUUCCCUUGAUAUUCGCCCCGGAAAUCGAAACAUUCUGCUGAUGUUGAUAAUAAACUUGAUGGAUUUGCUUGACGUUGCCCUGACUGUUACUCCUAACAUGAUUAUUACUCGGCUUUUGUGGCUGCUUCGCCCCUCCUUUCAUCGCCAUGGUACUAAUAACCACAUUGUGCAUCUGAUUCGGAGUUUGGUUCCCCAUCGGAUGCGAAAUCUGAGUCUGAUGUUCUUCAUCAACAACAUUUCUCACAUUCGAAUGAUUGCUACUCGCCAUGACAACCGCGUGGAUCGAUGUUGCCUUGUUACUAGCAAUUGCAUAUUUGCUGUGCUCUUGAAUCGUUUCAAACGCCAAAUGGCUAACGAGUUGUCGGAUUAUGUUAUGCUGGGCAAAUAAAUCUUGGCAUUUUGGAUAAUUAGCUGCCAGCUCGGAUACCGCCCACGCCGUGACAGCUUGAACCUUCAUCGGACCUUCUUUCAGGAUUUUCGCGAACACCGUGCAAACGCCGGCGUGGAUCAUCUGCUCGACGCUUUCCGGGUCCCGUCCCAGAAGACCAAUAGCUCUGGCAGCGUUUUCUUGACCUUCUAUUUUCCCUUCUUUGAUUAACUUCAAUAGCGGCCCAACCCCUCCUUCUUCUAUAAUUAGUUUCCCGUACCGAUCAUUAUCUCUGGCUAGCGAAACAAGCGAAGCCGCCGCGUCGGACCGAUCGUCGGGUGAACCAGUGAAAAGAAUCGCGAUGUGCUCCCAAAUUAGGCAUAGAAUCGGCUCGUUUGCAGCGAUUGGAGGGAGGCCUAAGUAUUCAUCGUCGCGAUCGUCAGCAGAAGCUGAUACACGGAGAAGCCAGGAGACAUCGCCAAUUGAGUUCUCGAGCUGAGCAGACAUUUUGCGGAACGCGGCAGCUGGGAUGAUCGUGAACACGCGCUUCAUAAGGCCGUUGGCGCGGCAUUUGAGGACCAAGUUAAGGGCUCUUUCGAGGACUUGCUCGGUGUCGUCGAUUAUGCGGCGCGUGGGACGUUCGUAGAGGUCGGAACUCGCUCGCGCGGCUUGUCGGAGUAAGCCAGCGAGUUUCUCCGUCUUGGAUUUAAGCUCCGCACACUCUUGCUUAAACGAACUUGCUUCAUCCGCCGCUUUCGUCACCUGGUCCGCUAACUGAAUCGGCUUCACCAAGAUUUGCUUCACUAUAUCCGCCAUCACAACCCAAAACAGAAAACCUUGAUCAGAUCAAAAAAAGCAAUGAAACUGAAGAGAAAGCGCUGAUCUUUGAUGGGUCUUGGUGGGUGUUUCUUGUCUCGUAAAAGGCUUGAUGAGCGGAGGAGAUGGAGAGAGGAAGUGGGGUAGUUGAAGGUGUUUGAUUAGGGGGAAUUGUUUGCGGAGUUAAUUGCUGCUGCUGCUUCUUUACGGUGCUGCGGGGAUGUUGGGUUGGGUGUCUUUUGUUUCGGGCUUUGUUGCAGGGUGUGGACGCGUGAAGAAGGUUGAUGAAAGAAGAGAAGAGACUUUCAUGGUGGACGAGUUUUGCAAGGUCAAACGCGUUUUCAUAGUCUUCUUUAUAGCACUCUUUGCUGCUCCUGCUCUUGUUACUUUGUUGUUGAUUCCUGAAAAUAAAUUAAAUAAACAUAUAAAUAAAGUUUUUCCUAAGCAAAGGAGAUGGGACAAAGUUGAAGUUUGAACAGAGAAAAUCCGCUGUCACUUUUAUGUUUUUUAUUUUGAUUUCAAUUUCAUCAUCGAUUUAAAAGUACCCACUUACCCAUGAAUAAAUAUUAAAAGAAUCCCAACUUAGAUUUUUCAAUUAAAAAUUUGAAAAAGCUCAUCAAAUAUUUUAAAAACUUUAAAUAAACUUUUUUCUAUUUUAUUCAAUUAAAUCUUUAUAUUUUUAUUAUAAGUUAAUAAAUUCUUAUCACUGAUUAUUGAUUAAUUGUUGUUAAUCAAAAAUUAUUUAUUAUUUUAUAUCACGUCGUAUUAAUGUAACAUAUUGAUUUAUUAUUAUAACAGAUAAAAUACUCACAUUUUUUAGUUUUAAUUGAAAUUCUAAACAAGUUCAAUAAUUCUUGAAAUGGGCACUCUUUUUAAAAAUAUAUUUUUCGCUGAAUACAUAAAUCUAGCCGUUAACCAAUUGUUAGUAUUUUUAAGACUUAGCAAUUCGUGUUAACGUGUCGUAAACGUGUCAGACACGAUUAGACACGAAACACGUUAAGACUAAACACUAACACGAUACGUUUAACAUUCGUAUCUUAAAUUUGAAAUACGUACACUUACACGUUUAAUACACGUAUAACACGACACGAUACGAUUAACACGUUUAUUAAACGUGUUAAUAUAUGACACGACACGAUUAAUAACACGUUUAACACGAUUAAAAAAAUAUUUAUAAUUAAAUAUAAUUUUAUUAUUUAAAUUUAAAAUCUAUAAUUAUAAAAAUAAUUAUAAUAAAACAAAAAUAAUAAUAACAUCAAAUAAUCACUAAAAGUUAAAAAUUAGAAUUAAGCAUGUAUAAUUACAUUAUACCCUAUAUAAAAUUAAAAAAACUUAUUAAAAUAAUUAUUUAAAAUUAUUUAUAUAAGGUUAAAAUAGUUUUUAACUAUUAAUUUUUAAUAGGUUAAUAAAUGUGUCACGUAUAUACGUUUAAACACGAUAACACGAUUAAACAUGAUAACACGAUUAAGUAAACGUGUUUAAACGUAUUUUAAACGUGUUUGUUAUGUCAUACACGUUAAGACACGAAAAUUUUCGUAUCUUAACGUGUUUGACAUGAUUAGACACGAAACACGUUAAUACUAAACCCAAAACCUGUUUAAUUCAUGUCUUCUUAUGUCGUGUUAACGUGUCGUAUUCAAAAUUGUUAAGUCUAAUAUUUUUGUUAGUUUGAUGACGUGAUAAUAUUAAAAAGAUAAUUUUACUUUUUAUUAAUUUAAAAAUUACUAUAAUUUUUUUUUUUUACAAAAAAAAAAAAUCAGUGCUCCUGGGAGAGGGGACCACCUCCAUUAAUUUUUUUUUUUCAAAAAAAAUUAUAUAAUAAUAAUUCUUAAAAUUAACAAAGAAGAAAGGACAUUUUAGUUUUUUUUCAUAUUUUCUGUUAACGGUGUUUACACUUUUGAGAUGAAUUGUCCAUUUCUAAUAUUAAGUGAAAUUAUGUCUACAAGUUAAGGGUGGGGAUAUUUUUAUCUUAUUAUAAAUAAUGACAUGACAUGUUGAUAUGAUAUAAUAAUAGAAAUAUAAAAAUUUAAUUAAAUAAUGUAAUAUAAGAAUAAGAAUUUAUUUGAAUUUUUUUAAAUAUUAUGUUUUAAAUAUAUACAUAAUUAUUAUUGAGUUAAAUAUUUAUGUUUUAAGUUUGAAAUUAGAACUUCAAUUUUUGAUUUUAACAAAAUACAAAUUAACCAAUAGGAAAACACUAGAUUCACAGUUACCUCACACGUUCUCGAUAAUUUUUCAAGUGAGUCAGCACAAUAAUUAACUUCUCUGAAAAUAUUUUUAAAAUAUAGAAAAAGAAAAUACAUUCAAUAUAUUAAAGUGGAGAAAAUGAGAUUGUAAGGUUAAAGGCUUAAAAAGAUGACAACAAUGUCAUUUUUCCCAUUGUUACAACAUGGCACAUGAUAUUUUAAUGAACUAUUAAUUACAUAAAAAAUCUAACCCAGACUUGCUUUGGGUUUUUAAAGUAAAAGUUGUUGUUGCACUCAAUCACAUGCAUAUUGCCCAAUCCCUAAUCACUUUGAUAGAACACCUAAACCCCAAAGAUAAUUAGUUGAACUAAAGAGAACAGGAAAGGAUAAAAUUGGGUUUGUACAUCAUUUCAUGCCAAUCAAUGGUUUUGGAAGCUUUUGCAUUUAUAUUUUAUGGAUAUCCCCAUUUCUCCGAAUCUUCUUUCAAACUUUUACUUUUCUAGAUUGAUGCCCUAAUCUUUCAAACUCUUUAAUCCUAAAUCAUCAAGCUCAUUCCAAUUCUAUAUAUGAAACAAAAGCCUUCUCCCAUAUAAUUAGUGGAGUGGAUGGACCUUUUGAUUUGGAUAUGAGAUUACUUUCAUUGAUUGUACUGAAGAAUGGAGCAAAAGGACGAAAAAGAUGAGAAAAAAAAUAUAACCUCAGUGACUAAUUAGGGUUUUUAGAGUCUGGUUUUAGGUAUUCCUUUAUAGUUUAUAGGUGUAAUUGUUUUUCAUCAUAUAAUUGCACUAAAAAAGCCAAAAUCGUUUUCAGUACUUGAUGAUAUAUGCUUUUCACAAUUUAAUUCUUUAAGUAAUGAACAAAGAAAAUGUAAUUUCAGCAUUUUGAUUCUUAAUAUUAUAUGUUUUCCAUUAACCAACUCUAAUUAAAUUAACAGUAACCAAAGUUAGUUUUUGAACUUUUAUUUUAGAUUAAAUAAAUCUUUAUAAUUAAUAAUUGAUUAAUUUAUUAAUUAAAAUGUUAUUUGUCAUUUAUGUCACAUAUAACUUGACGUAAAAAGCGUGAAAUUAUAACGUGAUUGUAUCAUUAUGUCACAUUAGCAUCACAUGAAAUAAAUUAAUAAAUAAGUUUUAACUAACGUGAUAUUAUACUCAGAAUUUUAUUUUUUAAAAAAAAUCAAAGAAGAGAAGUAUGUUUACUAUUCUUCCCGAAGCGAGUACUAAAUUUGAUAAUUAAUAGGUGCAAUUUCCGAAAAUAUUUUUUGAGAGAUGAAUUCAUUUAUUUUGUAAGAAGACAAAUAAAUAUUACAUAAAUGUUGAGGAGGAUUGAGACCAAUAAAUUCGUUUUUAUUGUAGUGGUCUGCAUGUUUUCUGCCUAACAUGCUUUCCAUCUAUUCCAUUUACAUGGUUGAGGAAUAUUUUUCUUCAUUUUAUUUUAUUUUUUAUUAAUUUUAAAGAAAUAUAAUUUGUUUUUCAUAUAAUUGGAUUGGUAUUUUUCAAACCAGUUGAAUGAAAAAAAUUCCUUGUUAAUAUAGGACAACGCACAUGCACAUAUGUAAAUCAUGUAAACAAAUUUUUGGAAUAUGUAUAUACUUUUUCUUUGAAGAUUUCGAUUAAAUUUUAUAAUUAAUAUAUAUAUAUAUAUAUAUAUAUAUAUUAUUUUAGAAGAUUUCUUUCGAUUUUAUUAAACCGUGUUGAAAAUUGUUGUGAGGUGUCAAGCUUAGGGAAACUAAUUAAAAAUUUUUAGAAGAGUUCAAAGAGAAAUUAAUAUUUUAAUUAGGCUAUGAUCUCAAUAAGAGAAUUUUAUAAUUUGGGUUUUCAAAAUUCGUUGAGUUUAAUAAUUUAACAAAGAGUUUCCGAAUAAAAAAAAAUAUAUUUUUUGUGUCUUUGCCAAACAAAAUUAUUAGGUUUUCUUCAAACGUUAGCCAAAUUAUUGCCAUUGAUUCCCAGACAGAGAGGGCUUACAUGGCCAUUUUUUCCUAAAAAAUAAUCAUUUCAUUUUCCCUAAUAAAAGGCAAUAAAAAGCACUUCCUUUUAGGUCAUGUUCAGGAAAUACCAAUGCUUGUUCACCCUUUAUAUAUAUAUAUAAACAUAUAUAUACUUUAUAUAUAUAUAUAUAUAUAGCGUAUAUAUAUAUAUCUAAUUUAGGAGGAAAUUAAUAUCAAAAUUUGAUUGAUAUUUAUUUAUUUAUGUAUUUUGAUUUGGAAGAGAGGCAAAGAAGGGUUACUUAAUUACCAACAAGAACACCUUUUUGUUUGCAGCAUGCAGGGCAAUAUUAAAAUCAUAUGCUUAUUGGCAUGCAGGACUCUUCCAAUGAGUUUAUUCAUAAGCUUCUUCUUCAUCAAGAAGAUAGCUUGACAAAGCAUUCGAUCAACAGAAACAGCAGAGCUCCAUCCUUUUAUUUCUUGAACCCAAGGCUGUGGAAAGUGGAAAACUUGUUAUAGAAUUCGGGCUUCUUCCUUUCUGAAACCAACAUAAAGAUGGUCAAGUUUACGCUUGUUGGAGUUUCUUAAAGAAGCUGCUUAUAUAUACAUAUAUGUUAGCUUUACACUUCUUCAAAGCUCAGAGCGUUUUCCAAGAUCAAGCGCCCUUGAAGGUGACUGAUAACGUUUCUGAAAUGAUACCAAAUGACCAGGAAAUGAUUCAAAUUUUGUGCAGUUGAUCAAGAAAAUAAUUCAAUGAUAGCUAUCUUAUCUCUAAGAAAGAAGUAUGGAGUUGAAAUUAACAUGACCCAGAGAUUUUUUUUUUAAUUUUGAAGAAGAAGAAGAAAAAAAGCUAUAAAUUGGAGUAAGAAGGGUAUGUAUCGCACGUGUAGUUGAAAGAGUACUGGUGGGCAAAAGUAGAAAAGUUAAUUUCGUUGCACAGUCGAUAUUGACAAUUGAGCUAUGAUAUGUUAAAGCUACGCUAAUUCUUCAAGCUUGUAACGACUUUGAUUUUUGUUUUGCCCACAAGUUUUCUUCUACUUAAUUCCUCCUCUCUCUUCUAUUUUACCCAUCACAGGAUUUGAUGUUUUUCUUGAUCUCAAAGCUGAAUUGUAUCAUCUGAUGCUACUCCCAUGCCGGUCUCGUACUGAAGUUUUCUUUUUCUCUGGGUAACUGUCACAUAUUCCCGACAUCAAGGAACAGAAAAAGCCGUAACUGUGGUAAGAAUAUACAUCGUUACUGACAAAUCAGAGUUGCUACAUCAGGCUGGAGAUCCACACAAGCAAUUCCUUGAGGACCCCAUAUCCUCUCUUAAAUCGUGAAAGUGCCUUUUCCUGAUAGAAACAAUGAUGCUUAUCCCCCCGAGUACAAACGACCAAGGAUGGUUCCUACCUAGUGGUAGCCUGUCAGAGGUCUGAAUCUGAUUUAAGCAUCAAAUCUACCACUCUAAUCUAUAUUCCCCUAAAGAAAAGACCAUAAAAUUUGAAGAUUUUUAUCAUGUUUAUAUUUACAUCUUGAAGAAAUUCUGAUGGUAUAGCCUUUUUUUUGUCUGUUAUGUAAAUGGAUCAUUACCCUUAACAAGGCAAAACAAAGAAAGAGAAGUAAAGAAAGUGAAAAAGUGAUCAUAUCACUAACUUUCUUCUUGGUUAUGAACGAGAGAGAGAGAGAGAGAGAGAAAUGAGCCAAAUACAUCCAAAUCCCAUCAUUUGGAAAUGCUUGAUUUUGGUCCAGUUAAAGUCUCUUUAGCUUAAAGAGUAUCUUUUAAUCGAGAAAAGGCAGCCCCCAGGAAGGAAAGAAAAAGCGAAAACAAUGGCGAAACUGCGACUCGAAACUUUUUGCAUCUGUUUACAUAUAGUUUCAAAAGCUGACAUGAAAAGAGAAUAUUGGGAAAUUGAUGAACUUAGGGUUCCUUUUUGCAAGGGAUUUCGGAUGGGAUAAUGAUGCAGAUUUGGUUCUGGUAUCUACAAUUGUCAGUCACCAGUAGAAUCCAGGGGAAUCAAUGUGCCGACAUCAACUAAAACAAGAGGAGCAAAGACAAGAUCCAUAGCAUUUGGCUACAUCAGGCAGCUCUCUCCUUUGUCUCAACAAAAUUGGAACUGAUCAUUCAGGAGUAUCUCUCCAAUUUUCUUCAACCAAUCGAAAGCCUUGUGCAAUGUGUAAUAAUAUGUAGGAAAAAGGAAGGAAAGCAAGAAAAGAAAAAUGGCUGAGAGCAGAAGGAAACUGGUGAGGGAAAUCUGACAAAUUAAAAUGCCAAACAUUAACUCUCUCCCACAGCCCACAGUCCUUGUUCAAUAAUCCAACCAUCCUCUUUCCUUCACAUAUUUUUUUGUUGCACUCCUAUCAAAUACAGGCAGUAUAGUAUAUUGGAGGUGUGAGUGAUGCAAGUUUGCACAUGUUUGGCAGCUUGUUAAGCGUACGUCUUUCCUGGAAGCAACCCCAGACAUGGAAUUUGAAGUACUUGCUGAAAACGUCGCAAUCCAAACAAGAACCUGAUUUAUAGCUGGCGAACCUUUUACUCCAUUAAUUGAUGAGCAAAUAACAGUGCAAUAUGGACAAUACUACAAGAAAAAGAGAUACUGCAUAUUUUCUUGCACUUUGUAAAAUUUAUCAAAAAUUAAAUAAAUAAUCUUACAAAAAAAUAUUACGACGUCUUAUUUUUUUGAAGUCUCAAAUAAUUUGAUUAGAAGAUAAAAAUUAAAUACUCUUAAUUUUUUUUAAUUUAAUUUAAUUUUGAAAUGAGCAGAAUAAUUAGCAUAGUUUAGCAUCAGUGUAUCAUAUUAUCACGUCAUUAUCAUGUGUGAAACACAUGUAUGCAUAAAAGCGAGUUGAAUAAACCUUUUCUUCACCAGAGCUUUACCCUCUAAAACAAGUUAGAUAAAUUUCUUGAAGGUUCAUUAACAAGACAACUUGAAUAAGCUGCAUUGCCUACAUACACGAAGCCCUGGGGUCUAGGAGAUUUGUCCCAUCCCCCAAGCUGCCAAGCAUCCUUUAUUGAAACACUGCAUAUCUUUUGCAGGCAUGAAGGUUACAGCCUAACUACAGACCUUUUCAGUAAAUUUUUUUGCUGUUUCCAUGAAGCUGCCUUGUCCUUGCGUGCUAAUUGUCUUGGGUCAAUCCUAUGGUCCUAAAAACACCAAUGAAGAAGCAAUCAAACAAGUUAUAAGGAUUUAUAUGUACACGCAACAAGAUAACAUCAGUUUUUUUGCUCAUCAUGGAAACUGGGUAUAUGUCAAAUACUCAAAAUGGUUUGUAGGCAUAGCCCCCCUUAAUUUCCAUUUUUUUUCAGAAUGGACCACAAAAAUAAAGGGUAGAACUCUCUAGUUUCUGUGUUUUAUCUCCUAAAACAAAACAACUCUCAGAGGUUGGAAGGUCUCUUCUUGUUGUAUCUGAAACUAUACUUGGGAGAUUUGUGGUGUCAGUGAGAUGUCCAGCCAUCUGUAUUCCAACCACUCAAAGUUCCACAUAGGUGGACUUAAUAAAAUCAUUUUGGAUGAAUAAAAUUCUCAAUUAUCUAAAGCAAAACAGAAAAAAAAAUCAAAGAAAAUUGCUUAAAACAAGCUAAAAUAUAUGGUAAUAAAGAGCCAAAAGCUAUGGUUUUGCCUCUUAGAUCUCAUUGUCUUUCAAGCUAUGUUUGCCAUUCUUAUGAACUGAAACAUGCAAAACAUCCAUCUUGAGAAACUUUCAAAAUAAACAUGAGAGUUUCAAAUGACAUUCUGUCAAUCUUUUGGCAGAUUUAAACAAGUAGGAGUCACCUUUUCUCCCAUUGUAAAGAAAGUAGUACUAAACUUGGCUGCAUAAUCACUAGUAGGACCAAGGUUUGUAAGUCCAAUAAAGUAUAAAGAAUGCACAUGCACCCAUAUGAUCAAAGUGUUACUUAUCUGUCAUUUUCCAUCUCGAGCAGUGAAGGGUUGGUUACUUUACAAAUUUUCUUUGUUCACACCAUCUGAUCUUCACUCAUUAACUAGCUAGCUAGGUACUCGUGUUUUUCAUGGAUUUAAGCCCUGGCCGGUACUCUCCUUUUCACCAUUUCAUUUUAAGUAAUUGAAGCACAAAGAAGCUGUCCGCCACUCCUGGAAGAGUACACCAAUUCCAUAAUGCAAAUGUGUGGAUCAUGAGAAAUUGACCUCUAUUAUAUUUCAGGGAAAAAAGAGGGAGAGAGAGAGAGAGAGAGAGAGAGAAAUAACUAACGAGAGUACUUUUUUUUCCCAGCCAAUUUCAACAUUGUGCUAACAGAGAUGCAGCUGAUUUCCAAUACUUUCAUGCAUGUUAAAUUUGCUAAUAGAAACAUACACUGGGGACAAACAUUUCCUUACAUGUCUACUGUGUCGGUUCUCUGUUUCAACCUUUUCGCCCUGUGACCUGUGGAAGUGCGAAAUCCAUCUCGCCCGAUGACAGCCAGUAGGCAGGACAAAAGAAAUGAAUUGGAUGCAUUAAAAUUAGAAACAUUUUCCAGUUAAAGUAGACACUUUCUUUUCUUUUCGACUAUUCCCUCUUACUCUAUUCACACCAUGCAAUUGUGUGCAUGGAAUCGUGGAUACAUAAAGGGACAGAUCACGUCAGAGAUAUAGGCUAUCUUUGCUUCUGAUUCCUUUGGCAAGAUACAUAUUACUCAUUAGGGGCCCAUACUCCAAGCUUUUCUGCUAACAGCCAAGCCCACAACUGCAAUUGUUUUUUGGAGGUUUCCAGGGUAAUACAUAUAUGCAUUUCUUUCCUGGAAGUUUUAAAAUCCAUGCUAGAGCUUGAAAUUGACAAACGAAAGGGACAUGCACUUAGUUGAAUCUGAACCGCUUUCAGGUCUUUAUAGGUGCUGGAAUUUUCUUGACCCAGUUGCAUCAGGUGGAAGCUCAGAAUCUGAGGGUAAAACUACAUGGACAAGAGAAAUAAAAAAGGAACAGAAGGUUAAGAAAUUUGCAUGUGUAAAAUGAGGAUUUAGACCCAUGCCACCGACAGCAAGAUGUGUGAUAGAGUAUGAUUCUUGAGACUAAAGAGAGUUAAUUAAGUACGGAUUCUGAUGCUGGGGUUUUGAUUUCUUAUUAGAACAUGAAUGUGACCGACGACAUGGAAAUGGAAUCAGCAUCAAGGUGACAAUUCCAUAUUGCUUUCUUCUUCGAUGAAUCUAUACACCUAUAUGGUCAUCUCUCUGACAUGAAAAAUAACCUGGCUAUUCUACAUCCUGGAAGGAUUCAUCCUUCUCUGCUCUUCUUUCUCUUUACCUGACCGUUUUCUUUUUCAUAUUGACCUACUGACAUGGACAUUGAUUUUACUUUUGUAGGGCCAAAAAAGAAAGAUUCCUUACUGUUUUCAGCAUCCUAAAUAUUCCUUGAUAAGUGCAUGUGGAUUUUUAGCCAGAAAUCAAGAGACCCUCCGAUUUAUCUCACAAAAAUCCCACAAAGACCACAGAAAUUUACUUAGUAACCAACGGGUAUCCUGUAUUGAUUAAUGUCAGGUUUGACAAGAUCAUGGGCGAAAUCGUUCGCUGUUUCAGGAAUGUGUUCGAUUUUCCAGCUUUCUCGAUAUGCAAUGCAAAAUUCUUUAAUCUCCAUGGAGUAGGAAAAAGGAUUCAAGAUCCAUUUUAACACGUUUGAAGAUUUACUUUUAAGAUAAAACUUAUUGUCAGUAUGAUACUCUACUUUCAAGUUUCAAAAAGGAAAAUCAAAAUUCCGAAGCCCUCCCUCCCUUAAUUAAUUAGUAAAAGAAAAAAGGGGAUGCUGAAAAAUGAGGGAAGUGACUUGCAUUUACGACUUGCCGAUCCGCAAAUGUCAUCUGAUUCCAUUGCAGCAGCUAGCCAGGUCCCUAAGCAAGUAAGCAAUGACAUGGCGUUUCGAUAUGUCACCAUUGUUGGGCUAAACACCUGUGGGUCAUGGCUCCUGAUUAACUAAAGGCCGACUCUGCUUUAAAUACUUGGGCCAGCUCCCAUCUGACUGUCCAAUGAUUCCUGGGAUGGUGUUUCCUGACAGCCACAUGUAUCAUGUUGCUCGUAUUAACGAGGAGUUAAGGGCACACUACAAUAAUUGUACUCUUCAAAAUUGAGGGAAAAGGAAAGAACACGAAAAUUCAUCGGAGAAAGAUUAUCACAACUGGCCCCUUACCCUUUACCUAGCUUAAUCAAAGUGGAAUUCGAUUUCAAGCUUUACGGAUUCCAACUUCUAAGCGAGAUGUAUAAUCUCCAAGGACCAUGGCUGCCAUUUAUGCCUAGUUCUCAGCUAAAGGUGCAAAGACCCACCUCAGCUCAGUAAAACUCAAAUUCCAUUCAUAAACCAUACUUUUUCAUGCACCUUUGCCAUGAUGGGUUGCAUUUAAGAAUGAGUUUAUGGAAGCAGAGUCAAAACCCACAAAUCAGAUCCCAUCUGCUUAGAUUUUAAAGCCUCCAUGCUUGUUUUAUAUUUUGUUCAAACUCCAGUCUUUGAGUUCCAACUUCCAACUAUAGAAAGAACUGAAAACAGAGUACGAAUCCUUUUUGGGAAGCAGCCAUUCACUUGCUUGCGCUACUAUGCAAUAAUGGAUACUGAUGCAGCAAUAAUGCAGCAGCCAAGUCCCUAGGCCAGCACAUCAAUGUUUUCGACAGGGCUUUGCGAUGUACCACCAUCCUUGGUCCAAAGCUAGCUGUGGGUCAUUCUUCUUUGAACUUAAGCUCCACGGUUGAUUUCUGGCAUGGCAUCCUCUACAUCUAUCCGAUGCUACUGCUCAGAACACCAUGGAGCAAGGAUUUUAACGGCUUUCCAUUUAGGUACACUUCUCAGUUGAAGAAGAAAGCUCCCCUGGCCCAAUCAUUAGGCCCAUUAUUCAUAGCUUAAUUAUUCUCACAACCCCAUGUUCUAGAAGCUAGAAUCUAGAAUGUAGAUUCUUGGGAGGAAGCUGUCUCUUUCUCUCCUGCCGCCCAGCUUGAAUCGGAGUACAAACAAACAAUUGUUUAUAGAUCAUGUGCGCACUCACUUUUAAUUAGUUAUUAUCAAAUCUAAUUAAUUAAGAUGAUAGCACAAAGCACUUUCAUGCCUGCCAUGAACUCGAAAAGUGAGGGUUUGUUUACGCAAUAUGGGUGUUUAUAAUUUAAUUUUGAUAUUAAGACUUCAGGAUUUUUAUAUAUAUAUAAAGAUUAUAAACUUUUUAAUAAGAAUUAAUAGGUCCAUCUCAAUCUGCACAAUUCAUAUGGAAAAAUCAUCUCCUUUUUUUUAUUAAAAAAUCUUAAAAAAAUUUUCCGCAAGUUGAACCUAAAGUUUAUCCAUUUCGUAGAUUACAAAAUCUGAAUUAAACAAAAUAAAUGGAGGGUAAAACACUAAUUAAUUAAUACGAAAAAUCGAAUUAUAAAUUCAAUAAACUAUAUCAAAUAAUUGCUCAAUGGAUAGUAAUAUUCUGUAUUUAAAUUAUAUUAAAUUUUAAAUCAAUUCCACUAUCAAAUCAAGACAGUAAUCUAUCUAAUUUAAUAUAUGUUUAUUCUUAAUACUCAUGUGAUACUGAAAUGAUGUUGAUGUAAAUGGUAAAAAUGUCAUGUACAUAUAUGUGUCAUCAUACUACAUCAACAUGCUAUGUUAUUAUCUAUUAUGAUAUGUUAACAUGUUAUAUCGACACUAUGUGAUAUAGAAUAAUAAGUGACAUUUUGACUGAAGACGAUGAAUCAAGUAAUUUGACUCAAAAUAAAAAUAUAAGUACUUAAUUAAACGUAAUAAAAAAUAAAAAUUUAUUUAAAUUUUUAUAAAUAAUUUAAAGUUUUUUUUAGAUAUCAUACCUUAUUUAAUAACUCUAUCAUUUUCAACUACAAAAAAGAAAUAAAUAAUAUAUUUAAAGUAUAUCUAUGAAUCGGUAUCUAACAACUCUAAGAAAAAUAAUAAUAAAAACAAUUUAUGAUUGUCAGAGACAAACCAAUAAUUGAGCAAGACAUAUUUGUAUAUGAACAAUAAAAGAAUAAUAAUUAUAUGAUUAAUUAGUAUAAAAAUGUUGGUUAACAUUUUUCGAUUAAAGUCUAUGAUGAUUAAUUAAAUUUAUACUUAAUAUAAGAGUAUAUGUUAUCUUAAAACGUCUAGAAGGUAUUGAUGAAUAGUCACUGUCCUUUGUAGGAAGAAUAUUCCACGAAGGAAUAGCAAUUCGUCUCCCAUCACAAUCAAGGGUUUCGGUCCACAACCAUUACCUUUGAUCAUGAAAGCUUUCAUGGAAGGAUUAGGAUGGUGGCCUCCACGUAACAUGGACAUUAAUUAGAGAGAAUUGGGUUAAGUCAAAUUUUAGGCACCAAAAGUUUUUGGUUCAAUCAUUUAAUGAUCUUAUAAUCAAGGUUGCGAUAUAAUUGUUAAUUAGUAUAAUAUUUAAAAAAUAUUUAAAUUAUUUUAAAAAGUUUUUAUUUUUUUGUUACAUUUAAUCAAGUAUUUAUACUUUUGUUUCGAAUCAAAUAAGUUCUUAUAACAUGUGAUAUUUACGUGACAUGAUAAUAUGACAUAAUUGAUUAUGACGUAAUAUAUUGAUAUAUUAUAAUUAAUAAUAAUAUGAUAUGUUAAUGUAAAUGAUGACAUGAUCAUGUAAUAUUUUUCAUCAUUCAAGUCAACUCCACGUUAGUGACCUAUAAGUAUUAAAUGACAAAUAAUAUUUUGAUUAAUAAUAAUUAAUUUAUUAUUAAUUAUUAUGGCUUAUUUGACUUAAAAUAAAAAUAUAAGAACUUGUUUGAGCACAACAAAAGAAUAAAAAAUUAUUUGAAUUUUCAUGAAUAUUUUAAGAGUUUUUUCGAGUAUUAUCUUUUAGUAAUUAUCAAAAAAAAAAAACCUACUAACAAAUAAUUUGUAAUUAAAGAUUGUACGCAUGCAAACCUACAUAUAUAUUUAAAGAAACAAAACAAAAAAAAAAUUACCCAAACAUUAAAUAAAAGAAUAAUCAAGAUGAUGAAGAAUCUAAUCAUAUAAUUAAGUGAUAAGUCAAAUGGUAGCAAUGCUUCUAGAUGAGUUGGGGGCAGCAACUCAGCCAAGAACUUAUACCACCAAAAUUUAAUUUAUAUUUAUACAAAAUGUAAAAUUUAACCACCAAUUGAAAAAUCAAUAUAUAUUUUAAAUAGCAAAACCACUUAAAAACUUUCUUAAUUUUUCUGGUUGAGGAAGCAGUCGUGGUGGACAGUUGGAUUAAGUUUUCUAUCAAACAGGUAGCCUUUUACAUCUUAAUUAUAUGAAAAUGAUUUAAGCUUUUUUUUUUUUUGGAAAGCAAUAUCACAUUACUAGAAAAUUGGUCGCAUGAGGAUUACGAUGGAUUUGUCACCUUUCAUUUUUAUUAAGUUAUUUAGUUUUAUUGAGAAAUAAUUCCCUCCUUUGUAACAGGUAUAGAGUCAGUUAACUGUUCAAAGCGAUGUAGGAAGUGUUCCCUGUGGACUGAAGAUACUGCUUCUGCAAGGCAUGAAGGGUAAAAAUUUCAACCUACGAACUAUUUGAAUCAUGGGAAUUAGGUAUUGAGAAACUUGGGAUGACAAAAUCUUUACUCAUUUAAUGUCAUUCAUACAAAAAGGGUGAGGUUUACGAACUUCAAUUGGCCAGCUUCAAGCACCGUCGGCAAAAGAAACCAACCCAUUGCCCAAAAUUUCAACAAUCUUGACCCUUUCAAAAUUUGUGUGAGAAUUGAGAUCAACAUGAUUAUCUCCCUUUGAUCAGAUUGUAAUUCCAGGGUUUGGAGGCAGUCCUUCCAGGCUAGCGUGACAGCAAGUUGUCACGAUCACAAAACAAGCAUGGAUGGACUUUUGUCUGUCUUGCUUUAAUCUGACAAAAGGCGAACUUUGUAUAGGAUUUUCCUUCUGUUUACUUGGAGCAGCGGACUCUGUCUCUGUCUCUCUCUCUCUCUCGACCAUCCCUUGAUUGGUAUGUUUGAAAGUUUGAGCACGGAUUGUUGCAGGAUGUCACUCUUUCGAUUAGAAUUUACUAGUGACAAUAGGGAAUUUGAAUCGGAGGACCCCCAUAAUGGUGAAAAAUCAAAUCUCAUUCAUUCACUGCAGUAGUAUUUAAUUGGAGAAAAAAGAAACUAAUUUGUUGACUCUCCUCUUUCCGAUAGAAGACAAAUAUAGUAAACAAAGAAACUAAAUUGUAAACAACAUGAAUUAGAGUAUUUGAUUUAUUAAUUAAUAUAUUAUUUUUUAUAUAAAAAAUAAAAUUCGAAUUUUUUUUCUUUCAAUUACAAAAAAAUAUUAUAUACAAGAACUUGGACAGAAUAGAAACUCUGGGAACCUUUCCUUGACAUUUCAGCUCUCAGAAUUUGUCCAGAUUCCCUCAUUUUCUCCAAAAAAAUAAAAAAAAAACUAAUCAAAUCCACAGAAAGAAGCAAAGGAUGAUAAGAAUUGGUCAGUUUGAGUGUGAUUCAGGGUCCAAUUGCUUGUCAAAAUUAACUGGCAUAUGAAUCAAAACAAAAGGUUCUAGAGCAUAAAUCAAGCAACAAAAUUAUUCUUCCAUGUCAGACACGCAAACCCAUUACACUUUGUAUGGAAAUAGUUGGGUUUGCUUUUUUUCCAAGGUGAUGGUCCCUUUUGGCUCGUCGUUUUCCAUCCCCAUACAAAUUCAAGAGUGAAAAGCUUUCUCUCUCUUUUUUUUUCUUUGCGCCUGCAAUUGACUUCUUGCAUGAACUCAAUAGGGACUGUGUAUUAUCUUCUAAGAGACAGUUAUCAUGUUUAUCCUCAUUUUUUUUAGUUGAAGAACAGAAAUUCGAAUCUUAUUUUUUAAAUAAAAAAUUAUAUACUAAUUAAUAAAUUAAAUGUUCAAAUAAUCCAAACAAAUAAUAGAUUUUGAAACAGAAAUUACUCAAUCUCAGUUAUCUUUUAUGACAUGUUAGGCACCCCUUUCAAAAAUAAUGUUACGUGCUUGUUAAACAUAUGAUUACUAUCCUAUUCAUAAUCAAAGUCUUAAUUCAUUAAUAAAAAAUUAAUUAUAUGUUUUUCUAAUAGUAAAUGAUUUUAUUGGAAAUUAAUUGAGAGGUAACAAUAAGACAAAUUUGGUCAUGAAAGUCUACGUUUGAUUCCUUGAAUUAGGUAAUUUUCUUAUAGAUAAAAAAAAAUGCUCCCCGAUAAUAAAGACUUUUCUGGUUUCCUUAUCAAAAGUUACUACAAAGAAUGUUCCCUUAAUACUGGAAAAGUGAUGUGAAAUGGUUCCAUUUGCAUACUUUUGUUAUCCAUUUAUUUAUUUUUUUAACAUUAAUUAAAUUAUUCAUUGAGACCCUUCGAACUUAAAACGUUUUCAUGAUUAGCAUAAUUUUCUCACAUAAUACGAUAAUUAAAGAGAAAUUUUGUUUUUAACUUCACUAAUUUCAUCCGGCAUAAUCUUAAUUAGUGAAGGUUUCGUAUAAUUAAUAUUUUUGUUUUUUUAUUAUAACAAAAAUAAAAAUGUUAAUAAAAUGGAAUAUUAACAAAAAAGGAAAUUACUAAAAAUUGCCAUAACAACAACAUAUUUUAAAAGUUUUUGCUAUGAAAAUUUUUUUCCCAAUUUUCCAUAGAUUUUUCAUUUACAACUCAAAAUGAAAAGACUUUCAUCACAUGAUUAAGUAGUUACAUAGCUAAUAUUCUUUUGUAAUUGUGAUUAUGGUAAACUGUAAAAGUACAAGGGAAUUCAUAUUUUCUCAGAGUUGGCCUUUUGUGCAUCGGCUAACCGCAACAAGGCGGAAAAAAAAAGAGCGGAGCUCUUACGUGGCACAAUCAACGCCGCUGAUCGUUUUCUUUUCCGUUAGUGAAUCAGUUUUCUUUUUGCUGUACAGAUUAUGGAAAUUAAAAACCGUCGAGUUCAGCUUCCGACUAGGUAGCGUGAUUCGGAAAGAGUCGACUCGUUUACCAGCACUGAUCGGUCUCCCAACUCCUCCCCCUGUAUCCGGAAAACCUAGAAGCGGAAGUCAACGGCCGUUGGCGUCUCCAGUUAAGCUUACUAUCAUAAACGGCUCGUUUCUCGGGGUCCGAUAAGGUACUGUAAGCCGCGUGGAUCUUCAUGAACUCGUCAGCCGAUGAAUCUUUCCGAUCGAUUGCCGCCACGUCCGGAUGACAAACUCUCGCCAAUCGGCGGUACGCCGCCUUGAUUUCCUGGUUCGAAGCACCGACAGAAAUCCCUAGCACCUCGUACAGCGACGAGCACGCUGCCAUUCCUGGACGACUCAGGUAACCGCUCGUCGAACCUUUCUCUUGUUUCGAAGUGUAAGUGUUGGUCGCGUUUCCAGCGGUGGUGGUGGUGGCUGCGGCAACGAUAGGUGCUUGGAAUCUGGCGCGGGAAGAUGACGGAGGAGAAAUUGGAAAAACGGAGGGAGAGGUCGAGAGGGGAAGAGAAAAGAGCAUGGUACCAAUUCGGUUAUCGAGUUUCGAGAAACAAUCGGUGGGUUAGGGGGAUGAUAUAUAGGCAGAAAAAACUUAAGGAAACUAUUAAUUUUUAAUUUAUUGCCUUUUAACCAUGGUUAAUUGAGUAAUAGCCGAAUUAGUUCUUAUCCAAUUCGUGGUGGACGAGUUUGGCUUGUAACUCAGCGAGUGAGCUCUGCAACUUGAGUUUUUGAGCUUUAUUUUAUUUUUUUUCUUCCUUGGUUUAAUAGCUGCUUAGUUAUAUAAAUGUUUUUUUUUAGUUUUUUUUUAAAUAUCCCUCAUAUAAGGUGUUUUUAAAAAUAAUUCUCUUUAUAAUUUUAAUUAUUUUUAGUCAAGAGAAAUUAAUUUUAGACAAAAUUAUCCUUAAUGAAACUAACUCAUAUGUUUAGGAUCUCGUCUCAAAUCGAUUCAUAUCCUUUGAGCUUUAUUUGUCAAACCAUUCAUCUAUGGAGUAUUCCUCACUAGAAAGAAAACUUUUAAGCAUUUUGAACAUUUUGGAAUAGUUUUUGAUACACAAAAAAAAACUUUUAAGCAUUUUAAACAUUUUUAAGUAUUUUAGAGUGAUUUUUUUAAUACAUGAAAAAAAAACUUUUAGCAUUUUUCACCAAUUAGGCAUAUUAGUUGAUUAUGCUGUUAAUUGAAAUAUGGUUUAUUGUUUGAAGUUGUUAAUUUUAUUAAAUGAAAUUCAAUAAUUUUUGUGGUCUUUAGGCAUUGCGUAAUCAGUUUUUAGGCAUUCGUUGACUUAGCAUUGCCUAAAAUCAAUCAUACAAUACUUAAAGAUCAGUUAUGCAAUACCUAAAACCAGUCACAUGAUGCCUAAAAAUUAAAGAUGUAAUGAUUAAGUCACGUAAUAUCUAAAAACUACUAUCGCAAUAGCUAAAACUCAGUGAUACAAUACUUAAAAACCAAUAAUAUAAUACUUAAUAACUAAUUGAUUUGCUUACUCGCAGCCAAGUUUAAGUUGUCAAAGUCAUACAGAAUUCUAAUUUACAAAUAUAUCUAAUUAAUUUCAACUCCUUAAUGUUGGAGUUCUAUGAAUAAACCAAUAACCCAAAAACCUUAAACAUAUACCUUGAUGUUAUCUCUACUAUUUAAAAUGACAGGAUAGAUAGUAUUUGACAAGAAAAAAAAAUCGAGAUUUAAUUUUAAAUUUUUUUUUUUGGAUUGCUAGAUAGAAAAAACUAAAAUAAUUUUAAUUUGUUUGAAAUUGUUGUUAAGCCAUGCCAAAAAUUGACUAAAAAUAGUUAAAAUUAUAAUAAAAGAUAUUUUUGAAUUAGACUUAUGAGGAGGGUUAUUUUUUAUAAUUUUAUUUUUUUUAUAAUUGAAAAAAAAAGAGAUUUGAAUCCUGUUUUUUAGACAAAAGAUUAUGCACUAAACAGUAAAUUAAAUACUCAAGUGCUGUUUAAUUAUAUAAAUGUUGUCCUUUCAGCAAUGCUCAAUUUUGAUAAAAAUAUAUAACUAAUUGGCAAUUUUUUAAAAUAAAAAUUAAAACAUUAAAUUAGUCUUUGAAUUUUUUUAUUUUUUAAAAUAAAUUAUUAUUAUUUUAUUAUAAAAAAUAUGUAUUUACUCUAUAAUUUAAUUAUUCAUGGAUAUGAUUUGAUGUUAACCGUAAGAUAUCCCUUUUAUCACAUGAUCUUAAGAUGAAUGUUGGUUAAUCGAUAUCUAAAUACGUAGACGCUGAUUUAACUUUUUUGAUGUGAAAAUUACUUUACGUGAAAAUGAGUUGUUUCUAACUCAAAAUCGUGGACCAAUCAUGUAAAGUUGAUACUAAAAUUUUGGAUUGCAAAUUAGUCCAUGUCAACCUUAAUAUCAACCCCAUGGUCCGGCUUGAUCUAGGAUCGACUUGAAUUUUAUAAUUUUUUAAAAAAUAAUAAUUAAAACAAUAAUAUUUUAUAAUCAUAUAUGCAUGUAAAUAACACUCAAAUUGUGUAUCAGUUUCUAGAACACAACAUAAAAUUUCAUACAUGCACGUUAUAAUUUAUUAAUUUUUUAAUCCAUUAUUAAGUUUUAUUAUUCUUUUAUUCUUAACAUUUUAUUUAGAAAUAUUUGUAAUUUUUUUCAUUUAUUCAUUUAUCCUUUGCGAUGGUUAUAAACAUGUUAAAUAAUGCUUUGACUUAUAAAAAAAAAUUAAAUUAAUAAGUGUUUUAAAAUUGAAAAACAAAUCUAUUCAUUACUAAUUCUGUAACACUAAACUAUCAUUUCCUGCAUUAUAUCUUAUCAUUGUAUGCUGAAUCGUAUAAAUUAAAUAAAGACAUAAUUAAGGUUCGAUUUCAUGAUUAUUGUGCUUCUAAUGAUUAAGGUUUCAAUCUGUCAAUAAAAAAAUAAAAAAUAAUAAUAAUACUAAUUAAAUUUUCUGUCCCAACAUUAAUGAUCAACUGUUUCUACAGAAAAUGCAUAAUUAACUUAAAAUUUUCAUUUUGAAGGAAUUGUUGCCUUCGUUUACAAUUUAAUCAAAUCAUCAUAAUUUGGUGAACGUGAUGGCCUUAGGCUAAUCAUCAACAACUGCAUGUGCCAAACGAUGGCUUUUGUUUCCCAUUUUUCAAAGACGUGUCAACUCCUAGCUAUAGCUAUUUCCUAAUGUCUAAUUUAAUAUAGAAACAACUUUAGAACUAACAUUAUAUUUUUAUUUUAAUUAAAAAUAUUAGCUAGGUAAGUUCAAAUGAAUAGCUUAGGGUUCACGAAAUCUGCUGGACCACAGUGGUUGAGCUUCAAUCAACUCCAACCUCCCAAUCUUUGUUUGGUCACGGUGCUUAAUGGUUGUACGUAAGGUUUCAUUCGAUUGAUAAUUUUAGGUUUUUUUUUUUUUUUGUUAUUUUGAUAUUUUAUUUUCUUAUUUCUUAUUUUUUUAUUUUUUUUGUUAAAAUUAGAUAAAAAUAUCAAUCAAAUAAAAAACAAAAAUAUUGAGAGAUUGCUCGUCUUUUAUUCAUCACUUAGUUUCAUGUCUAACCAUUAUAAGUAAGGUUUCAACUAAUCAAUACUUUUGCUUUUUGUUAUUUUGGUGUUCUAUUCUUUCUUUUUUUUUUUAUUCAUUUUAUGUCAAAAAUUAAAAAAAAAAACAAAAUAAAGAGCAAAAAUAUCAAUCAAACAUAAAACAAAACUAUUGGGAGACGGCUUGCCUUCCGUUCAUCAUUUAAUUUCAUGCCUAAUCGUCAUAUGUAAGGUUUCAUUUGGUUGAUAUUUUAUUGUCUGCUUUUUAUUUAUUUUUUACUUUUCCUUUUUCAUUUAUUUUAGGUCAAAAAAUAACAAACAAAAAUAUUAAUCAAACAGAAAACAAAAGUAUCAAGAGAGAGCUCGCCUUCAAUUCAUCACUUAAUUUCAUGCCUAAUCAUUAUAUUUAAGGUUUCGUUUAGUUAAUACUUUAUCAUUAACUUUUUGGUUUUUGUUAUUUGGGUAUUCUUCUUUUCCCUUUUGUUUUUCCUCUUUCUUUGGCCUUUAUAAUUAUUAUAAAAAAAUGAUAGGAGCAUGCAACUACUUGAUACAUGGCAAACCCACAUAGCUUGAGACAAGAUUUAUUUGUACUUAAUUCAAGUAAUUAAUAUAAACUUUAAAAGGUAAUGCAAAUUAUUUGAAAAACUACAAAAACCAAUCAAUUGAAUCUGAAUUUUAUAUACAUAUAUGUGUGUGUCCGACAAUUAUUGCAUUAUUCGACUUAAUAGCAUUUCUCUUUCUUCUUUUCCAUCAUUACUUUCCUUGAUAAAAAAGGGAAGAAAAAAAUCUUUUUCUUUUUCAUUUUAUUUUUUUAUUUAUUUUUAUGUCGACAGAAUAAAUAUGGGGGCCACAUUCUGUCCAAAUAUUGAAUAGAUGCAUUAUAGCCCCACAAGCACCUAGCAAAGUUUUUUCAAAAGAAAGAAGAUACAACAUGACAUAGAUUUUCUUUGGGAUUGAAAGGGUGAUAUUGCAUAUGUCUAGAACAUAGAAAAAGACAAGUUUGAGUGCUAUUGCUUUGUAUAUCUAUAUAUAUGUGUGUGUAUGUAUUAUUAUUGCAUGGCUGCAGUACUCCUUUCCUUUCCAGCUGAAUGGGACUCAGAAAAUUUAUGGAAAGUGGCCACUCUCUGUUUGGCACCAUCCACUCACCUCUCAUUACAACCCCACAAUGAAUCCAUCUCUCUUUGUUCUAGAUUCUCCAUUGAUUUUUCUUUGUUGUCCAAAAGAAACCAAAAAGUCGUACAACGUGCUUCGCCAUUUUCAAUGGCUCUGCUUUUCACGAGAAUAAAAGUCAUUCACAAAAUAUUAAUAGAAAAAAAUAAAUUACAAGACAUAUAGAUAGAAUUUGCCUGUAACUCUUUAUUUUUAUUAGAAAGUCACAUAAUUUGCUUCCCAUUUCUCAAUAGUCCCCCUAUGUUUCUUUAGAUUAAAAAAUGAGUAUUCUAUGAAGAAGUUAUAAGUCAAUGAUUAACUAAUAAACUAAUGCAAUUAUCAUGGUUUCAGUUCCUAGCUCUAGGGGCAACCAAGAGACACACUUUUAUAUUAGAGAGAUGCCCCAUUUGGCCAUUUGCACAUCUUCUUAAUCCUUUUCAAGCCAAGGUCACUGCAAAUCAAUGUGUACUUUGGUGCCCCAAUUUGGCAACUUCCCAUUGCCCCUGUGACGUGGACAAAACAUGUAGCCUGGACACAAAUUUUAUAUAGAUAUAAUGAAAGAAUAUAACUUGUAAAAGACCUUGGAGGGUUCAGCUAGCCAACUAAGCAAACUUAGGUAUACACUGAUAUCUUCCAGGUUACCAAUCAGGUUUUGACAGAAAUUCCAUCAGACCCAACCUGGUUCUGCGAUUGGAAAACAUUUCUAGCAUCCAGAAUUUUACUGGAUCAUGUCUAAAUAUUGUGUACUUUCGUUCCCCCAAUUUGGCAACUUUCCAUUGCCCCCAACGUCUACAAACAUGUAAAUCUAGUCACAAAUUUAAUAUAGAUAUAUGUUGUUCUGCCUUUUUUUUCUCCUUUUGUUUUCUGGUAUUUGUUUAUACCAGAUGUCUGUUUGCUGUCAAGGGUUGGCCUAUGGCCAAUCCUUUUCUGUAGUCUCACAGAUUUUUAAUGAAUUCCCACUAUACAAUGACAGAAAAUGACUUGUAAAAGGACCUUGAGGUUCAGCUAGCCAACUAAGCAAAGAAUACACUGAUUCUGCAAUUGGAAAACACUUCCUCUAGCAUUCAGAAUUUUACUGAUAUAAGUAUAUAAUUGAGCUUUGGAUUCUAUGAAAAAGCAAAAAAAAGAAAAAUGAAUGAUAAUCAUAAGAGCUUGCUGACAGGCUAGAAAUGGUUUCAUCAAUUUGGCAAGAGAUUGCUGAAACGUUCGAGUUGAAAAUUGUCGCUGGGUCACUGUGGGGUUGAUUUGUGCUGUUGCCUAGUAGUUGAUGCUGAUCUCCAUAGACGUGAAACAUAGUCUAACGUCGUCAUUGGUAUCCUAGUGGCUCCAUGCCAACCACGAGCAGUCACCCCACUUCGAGUUCUCCCAUGAUGUAGCAUCAGAUUAAUCCAAUCAGAAAGGAAAAGUUAACCUUUCCAUGGCAGAUUUCAACACCAGCAAAUUCGGUUUUUUGGUCUGUCAAUUGUUCAGCACUUGAAUCAAACAUUUCCAUUAACCUUCCAAUCCCUUCCGUCGAACAUGGUUAAUUAUCUGGGCAACACACUUUCUUUGUUUGUAUAUAUAAUACUAAUGAUGCUUGCUUUAACCUGUCAUAAGGCAGCGUCUCAACAUGAAAUUGCUUGCUAGCCAGGAGCCUUUUCUUAGUGUCUAUCCACGCCAGGUCACUUCGGAAAAUGAUCGGUGAGAAUCAACUUGGAAAGUCAAUGAACUAUCAUCAAACGUAUUAUAUAUUAUUACUAUUUAAUUAUUCCAUGUAAACCCACAUGAACAAGUUGUAAUUAUCUAGUCGGCUGUAGACCAAAUAAUUAUUUGCAUAAUUUGUUUUCAAUGAUUAAGUUUAGAGAGACGACAUAUAUAUAUAUAUGAGUGCUGAUAACAACAUGAUUUUUAUAUUCAUGCAUGCAUGGGAGCCAAGAUUUAUUCCUUAAAUAUAUUGUCUUAAUUUUCAUUAUUUCAUAAGUAGCUUCACAUAUUGUUAUUCUUGACUAGAUUAAAAUUUUGGGUAUAAAAAAUUGAUCCAAGUAGUUGAAUAAAUCAAAUCAAACCGAAAGUUUCAAUUAAUUUAUUUUGUCAAAAUUGAUUAAUGUUUGGUCCUAAACCUAAGAACGUUCACAAGGUACGACUCUUGAAUAUAUCAUUCUUAAUUUCUCUAAGAAUAUGUUGUCAUUUCUAUACAAUUUUAGACUAACUUUCUUUUACAUAUCAAAAUAAGAGGCUACUAUUUAAUUAUAAUCAAUUUUUGAAAAAGUAUUUUAAGAGUUAAAAUUCUUAUUGCACACUUUUUUUUUUUAUAAAAUUUAAAGAACGUGAGAAAGAAAGUUCCUUAAUUAGAGCAAUUUUAAACACACAAAGCAAAACAGAUAUGGAUAUGUAUAAGAAUUUAUUUGUAAAAGACUAAAUCACAUCAAUGUUUUCUCACCCUAAUUAAUAGAAAAUUAAACAGCUCGUGAGUUUUUUUUUGCAUGGAUAAAUACAUGUCGCUAAUUAAAUAUAUAUAAAUGUAUUGCAAAAAAUCUAUAUAUAAUCAUAGUGUUAAGUAUGGAAAAUUCAUCCUAGAAUUAUUUUCCAAGCAAAUAUAGUCAAGAAAUUGAAAUCAAAAUUUGAAAAUUCAAUUCAACAAUAAACUUGGUUGGUUCUUAGAAGAAGAAUGAUUGUACAAACUACAAAUCAUCCUGCUUGUAAAGAAAGACCAACAAAUAAAUAGAUAAAUGAAAAGGACUUCUCACUUUGCAUCUAAAUAUUUCGAUUAGAAGCCCAAUCAAAUGCAUUUUCAACUAAACCCAAGGUCCGGCUUAAGCAAAUCAUCAGCCCAACUUAGGCUGAUUAGCUUCUUUGCCCCAUAAUAGGGUCCAAAAAUCUUUUGCUCGAAAUUUUAUUAAUUGUAAAGAAUUAAUAUUUAAAAAUUAUUGCUCUAACCUUACAAGUAAAGUAUUCGAAUUAGUUAAAUACUCAAAUUUUCAAAUCUCUUCAUAUUUAGGUACUCGAUUAAUUGAUAUAAACAAAAAAGAUACUUAUUUUAUAAUUAAUAUAUGUAAUUUACUAAUAAAUUAAAGAUAUUAAAAUUAAACAAACAUUUAAAUUAAAAUUCCAAUACACUCAUAAUUAACAGUAAACAAGUUCUAAAAUACAAUAAAUAAUGACUUAAAUAAUUAAAUUAGAUUUGGUUAUCAAUUGUCGGGUAUCCAAGAGAUAAUAUCUGAAACUAGUAGGUAAUACCUUUCCAUAACUCGAAACAUACAACACAAUACUUCUUAUCAGAAUCAGUCUCAAACCCGAAUAUAAGGUAAGCGAACUCAGUAAUCAGGUCCAGUAAGUCUAAGUGACCCAAAAUUGAAUAUCAAGAAAUUAAGAAAAUGAAAAAAAAAUGCACUGCCGAAGAGCAAAUAACAGGAGAAAAAUAUCAAGCCGCAGUUACAAUUAACCAACACUCAAUAACAAGAUUGUUUUGUUCAUAUAGCACGCCCUAGAUUAAUUUUCCACUCCAAGUAAUUGAAAAAGUUUAGGUAAAAUUGCUGAGCACUGAUGGAUACAAUGCAUAGUUACCACCAAGGUUGAAAGCCAGAGAUGGAAAAGGAUUAGCAAUACCAUCCCUUUGAUUCCUGCCAUUGGACCUCGUGGAUUGCAGGCAACGCUCGAGAAUCUGAUCCCUGCAAAUGGGACAAUGCAAAGAUGGAACCUGAAGCCAUUCUUCAAUGCACUUCUUGUGGAACAUGUGCUUACACCUCGGCAAAACACUGACACUGUCUCCAUGCACGUAACCUUCCAAGCAUAUAGCACAGUGUUCUUCAAGCUCCAAGGAAUCGUCGUCAGAAAAAGAAGGCUGCGAUGACCACAGCGUCGAUUCUGCAUAUACAAGGGCAGGAAUGGAUGCGAGUUCGUCGUCGAUGGAUGGUGCUCUUGGGUUAACGUUGGUGGGAUUUCUGGAGCGAUUUGACAGGUGAAAGCAUUUGCAGAUUAGCAAAACGAUGAGACAAAGACUUAUCGUUGCAGCCAUGGUUGUGACAACAAUGCGAUGAUUAACAACCACGGUUCUGCAAUGGCCAUUGCUGGGUGAUGGUGUAUAAUCUCUCAGGAGAUGCUUGUGACUCAAACUGAAGUUUGUGGCUGGCUUCAUGUGCAAUGAUGAGGGGGACCCGAGCCCGCUAGAAACUGAUGAAGAUGAUCAACCUGCUGUUACAAGUUACCUGUUUGAGCAAGUGAUGAACGUGGGCGAACGUGCGGCUAAGUUGGAAGAAUGGUAGCAGUAUUCUUUCGAAAUUGUAACUCCAUGUAUGGUAAAUGAUCUGGUCUUUUCUGUUUCUGGCUCAUGUUUGCCAUUUGAACUCUAUUUAUAAUGGGAUGGUCAAUUCAGUGUUUGGUUUAUUAUAAAAAGUAAUAAAUAAUAUUUCCAAAUAAAAAAUAUAUUAUUUAUGUCGAUAGGUAAAAUAGUCUUUUUAUUAUGAUCCCUUACAUAAUUUUUUUAAUUUUUUCAAAAUAUUAAUUCUAUUCUAAUAAAUCAAAUUACAUAAUAUAACUAUUUUCUAUCUUAUUUCCUCUUUAUUCUAUUAAUUUAUUAUCCAAUUAGGAUUAUGAUGUAGCCAUUUGAAAAUUUGGCUGUAUUCGUUGUAUAUAUAUACUUGCCAUCUUUUCUCUAGAUAAUUGUUGUCCUUUGGUUGGCAUUGAUAUUGAAAAUUAAUAAGUUACCAUUAUUUGAUUCAACUAUCCUUUCCAUCUAUGCUCACUUUUUCCUUUAAUUUGAGAGAAGAAGAAUUCAAACUCUAUUCUUUGAGUAAAGAAAUUUUUUUAUUAAAAAAAAAAAAAGAAAUUCGAGCUAUAAGUCCCCAUCACUCCCAUGCAUGAUCCCAUCUCUAUCUACAUAAAGCCUUUUAGAGUAGGCUUUAGGUAGAUAUCAAAUGCUAUGAGCUAAAAGCUGAAAGAAAGGAAAAAUGAGUGAUUCAUGAAGAAAAAUUCUCCUCUUUGUUUCAUAUAAUACACUAAAGAGGAAACAAAUUACAGAUGAUUGAUCCUAUGGUGAUACUAGAUAUGCUGAUGCCCUGACAUCCUCAACAAGUACAGUGUUAAACCACUUAGAAAAAUUGACCCAUAUGACAAUCCGAGAUGAACUGACAUUCAGCAUCCUCAUUACCUGUAAUAUUUACCGGCUUAGGAAGACAAUUUGUUAGAGGGCUUUUUGAUUAGGAUGACUGAAAGAGUUUACUCUCUAGCAUGGAAAGAGGCAGAACAAGAUUGAGGAUACUAUAAUUUACAAAAUGGCAGGGGAAGGACAUUUACACAUCCUUCAGUCAAACUUGAGAUGAAGGAUCUACCAUCAUUUUGGCCGAGAUUUCACUGAAGCCCAUCUGAAGUAACCACAAUUUGCUUCAGGGUUAGAAGAAGGACCCUGCAAGAUGCCAAAGAAACAACUCCAAUUAUUUCAUUUAUCAUGCACCUUUCCUAAUGCAAACUGCAACCAGAGUGGUUCAUGAAAAGAUGGAAAAUGCAUACCUCAGCUCGAGCACACACAUAGAAUCUAUGACCAAAAGUAGGACCUGGUUUCUUCACUACUCGUGAAACACAAGGUUCUCUAUGGCCCUUGCAAAGAGGUAUGCUAUUCUGCAUGAGUUGUUGUAUCCUUUGCCACUCCACUAAAGCAACGUUAUUCCUCUCCUUCUCCAAAUAACAAUUCCCAUCUUGUGCUUCUUGACCCUGUGAGGAUGCACACAAUUUCGUGUCAUUCUGCUUUGGACUGCUUCCAAGAUAAUCCAUCACAGGAGCUUCCUGGGACUGAUCAUUAGAAUCUACAACACCAGGCUGGUUGGUUGAAGUAUCAGUAGUAGAACUGUCAACAGUAUUAUCUUGGUUUGGAAUUUUCUGAAAAAAUGAUCUCAAGGAGAGCUGUUGACUCUUUCUUGCUCUUUUCUUGGUUUCUUUGUUAGGCAUUGAACUGACAUAUUCUCUGUUGAAUGCAAUUGAAGUGUUACAAGCAACCUCCUCAGUGAGAUCUUCAGACUGCUCAUCAACUUGUGGGAUGGUAUGUUCACAGUCCUCGUCCAAUGAACAGCAGGAUGUAUAGGUUCCAGGUACAUUGCAAUUUGUGAUCGACCUGUUGACACUAUGACUGCAACCUCCGACCAUGAUAUUUUCAUCAGAAAAUGAACUUGAUACUAAAUGGGAUUGGACUUGCUUAGCAGCCUGCCUUCUCUUGAAAACUGACACUGUCCAAGAAAAGAGGUGAAAAAGAGAAAAUCUUUGAAAAUUUCCAAUGCUAAAGAAAUGAUUCUGAAAGACAGAUCUAAACUUUAAAUGAGACUAGCAUAAAAAAAGAGGAAUAGUAUCUUGUACCAAGAGUUUGCAGACCAUGAAUCAUGGGCAGAUAUCUAGCAGCUAAAGAUGGAGUGCUAUGCUGUGAGACAUCAGGAAUUUCCACCAAGCUUGUAUAAACAGGAGCAUGGUCUGAACCUUCUAAUUUAAUGUUCCACCCUCCUUUCCACCUACAUGAGGCAAGACAUAAGAAAACACGUGAACAGAAUUAUCUACAUCUUUAGAUCAUGUAAGAUUUGCUACAGAAUAACAUGGUACAACUGUAAGUUUUUCAAAACAAUGAGCAAAACCAUCAAAACUUAGAUGUUUGAUCGUCAGGAUGACCAUCCAGUAAUCUGAAAGGGGGAAAUCUAGUUUUCAAUUUUGAACCAAGUAGAAAGUACCAGUUCAGUAUUGUUUCAUUACUCAAUUCAACCACAGGGUCGGAUCUAACAUUUACCUUGGUGCAUUUCCAGGUUUCCACCGCUUGUACUCUGUCAAAAUGUUGCACUCCUCUACAUGGCAGGUUACCAAAUUAUGUCCGUCAACAUCAUGCUCCUCAUGUAAGCAAGAUCCAGCACAGAGAAUAUGAUCAAUUCUUGUCCCAUAAUUGAAUUGUUCAGCACCAGUAUUUGAAGGCCAACAUGUAAAUGCUUCCCUUCUGUAAAGAUGGAAAAACAAGUAAACAAUCAGAACCUUAAAAUAAAAAAAGCCUUCAUAGCCAGAACUGUUCAAAGACAGAAUUAAUGCCUAUCAGUUAAUAACAAUGAAAAUGGAAGGCAGAACUUCAAAUGAUGCUAUAGGCAGUACAUUAGUCAAACAGAAUGAAAUCAAUGUUAUAAGGAGAAAGAUUUAAACCUGUUGGGAUUUUUUGCCCUGAAAACAUCAAAGAAAUGACCUCCAGAUUCCACUAGCAUGGAUCUAAACCAUGUCCUGAACCUAUAACACAUUCCAACUGAAUUAAUUACUAAAACAAAAAUCGGCUGUAACCUAUACUACUGUCUAUAGAGCUGCAAAAAUGGUAGACUCUGAUAAGUUACAAAAACCAGCCAGAAGCUUACUCAUUCUUCUCAAAAUCUGGUCCUGCAUCACAACGAUCAAUAGCACAAGGAGCUAUGUUAAGAUCACCAAGAACAAAAAUCCUCCUUCCGCGACGCAACAGAGACUCCCAUCUUUUCUACAACAAAGACAACCGGUUUUAAACCCCCCAUUGCACUAAUUUUACACCUUACAAGUGAAAUUUUCUUACUGAAACAAAUUUCCUUACCUGUAAUAUCUUUAAAAAAUUGAACUUGAAUUGAAUCCUAUCAGCAUCAUCACUCUCUGCUCGGGGUCCAUACAAGUUGAAGAGAACUAACCCAACACAAUUAAGCAAGAUUAACAUAAUUAGGCCUUCUUAAAAAACUAAUCAAAUCAAUAUUCUUACGUUAAACUAACCAAAAUGACCAUGAUCCGUGAUAAUACACCGCCCCUCGCUAUCAACCUUGAGAAGUUCCUCUCUUGAGAACUCCUCCAGCCCUUCAGCUACGGAAGCCGCCGCUUCGUCUUUUCUAGAACAUCCUAGAAGGCCUGUGAACCCUUCCUCUGCUGCAAUGGGCAAUGCCGCUUCUACGCUCGAGAACGCCGACUUCACACGACAAAAUGUAGCCACACCUGAAAAUAAACUAAAAAAUGAAUAAAAAAAGGGGAAAUUUCCUUUUUUCUCGUUGAGGUAAGUGACCAAAAAGCUAACCGGAGUACCCAGUUCGGCCUUUAUCGGAGGUGCGAGUGCAUGAAAAGAAAGACUCGUAGCCAUCGGCUAUUGCCAAAUCGGCCGUUAAUUCUUGCCUUCUCAAUUUCGUUUCCUAAUUCCAGGCAAAUAAAAUCAGGAAAGUAAAAUCAUGGAAGUAAAUUUUCCUUCGCAAAAAAAGGGGGGGUGGAAUUGGGGACCUGGAUGCAGAUUAUAUCAGCAUCGAAGGAAUUGAGCAAUUUGGAAAGAGACCCGAACUGUGAGAUUCUUUGCCUCAGACCAUUGACGUUGUAAGUUACUAUCUUCAUUUCUUCAUAACUAAAAAUUUCCCUUUUCGUUUUCUUCUCUGGUUUUGCUCCGACGAGCGAGCGAUGAGAGCGAGAGGAAAACGAAAGCAGAGCAGGUGGCAAUCGAAGCUCAGUCGGUUUUGUCACUUUGGGUUUUGGGCCUUUGGGUGGGCUUUGGCUGCUAAAUUCAGAUACGACCUCUUCAGCCAAUUGAAUUGAAGUCAACGAAUCCUACGAAAGUUAUGGUGCUCUACGAACCACUUGAAAAAUCUGUGUCUUUUUAAGGUUCCUAAAAAUAUAUAUCCGACAGACAGGCCCACGAACAGAAUCGGCACGUGGUCGAGGCUCGUGGAGAACACAAGUUAAUGCUGUCGUGGUUUUCUCUUCGUUGCCCAUUUAGGAUUUUUCUCAAGAAAAAAAAUCCUCCUUAUUCUCUGUCAGAGACUCAAAAUUCACCUCCAAAAAGAAAAAAAAAAAAUUUAGGAUCAUCAGCUUCAGUCUGAAAAACCAGCAUUAAAUCCCAGCUUGAUUUCUAGCUUUUAAUGUGACUGCAGUAGUAAGGGGAAAAACCAGCAUGGAUCAUCAAUGGAAGUCCAACGAUUUCUCAAAAUCUGUUGCAGCAGAUUUGGGCCCUUCAAACCCUGAACCCAGGUUUCUCUUUUUCUGUUUUUAUUCUUUAACUUGGGUCCUGUCUUGCUUAUUUCACCGUUAACGUUAGACUAUUCCUUGACUUGUCAAGAACUGAAAGUAAUUGUUUUUCCUUUUUGUGGGUUAUUUAUUGGUUGAUAUUCGUUGGUUAUAUAUUUUGUGUAUUUGGCAGACAAAGGCAGGAGGUGGAAGUUAAGGAUCCAAUAGCUGCAAGGAAAGUUCAGAAGGCAGACCGUGAAAAAUUGAGGAGGGACAGGCUGAAUGAGCAGUUUCUUGAGUUGGGAAACACGCUAGGUAAAUUAUGGCGAUUCAUCAAUUUGUUUAAUUGCUGAUAUCUUUGAUCACUUGCCAUUGGAUUUACAAAUGUUGCUAGGCCAGUCAGCCUUGCAAGUAGGUAGGGGUUCUUUGGUGAGUUAGUUUAGCAACAAUUGAACUAACCAUAUUAGAAGUUCAAUGCCAUGUCAUUCCUUAUGGAUGUGUGUCUGAUGCAUUCGACUGUUAGAUGCCCGUGCGUUGAUGCAAGCAGUUUAAAUGACUUUUAAUAAGAAUAAUGGUGGUUGAGUUCUGAAUAUCUACUUAACUUAGCAUACUUAAAAGCUGCUGAUAAAAAGGGUAUUGCAAUUUGUCUCAUGUUUUAGACACUUAAUGCAAAUGCACAUAGACGAGUAAAACAGUCAAACAUUGCUUACAACAGUGAAAAGAAGCAAUUCAGGAAGUGCUAGAGAAAUGUAUCCUCAGUUUCUUUCCGAUACUUUAACUUUCCGAGACUUUUUCCAUUUUCUCCAACUAUCCUUGGUGGUGCAAGGAUAGGUCUUUCUGGAAACUCUUUUCAAACUGCGUUGGCUUGAUUGCAGCUUCUGACCCAUUUUCCUGUGAUCUGGAGCGGCAUCUAUUCCCUUCUUAGGUUCAGAAUUUCAGUGUAGUUGGUUUGACUUAUUUAUGUUUGCUUUCCCUAAAUCUGUGCUGCUAGAUGGAGUAGGAGCCUUGCUAAAGCUGGUGUGCAAUGGCAAGGUGAGCUGUUUAAGGUCUUUGAGUAAUCUGUUUUGGUUAUGAUGCUAUUGGUUUGCGGGGGGAUGUUUUUUCUGUUUUCAGAUGUUGGUGGGGAAAGGCUGACUCUUCAGAUCUUGUGAUGUGGUCGUGGUUUUUAUGUGCUUUGAGCCUGUGUUUUGUUGGAUGAUUUUUAUUGAGCUGCUGAAUGUACAGGUGCAUUGUGUUGAGCAUUGUACAGGUCAUGUUUUUCUUUUUGUCGGGAUCCUCCUUUGUUUUGGGGAUCAAAAUUGUUUAUGUUGGUUCAGCACUUUAAACAAGGAUGCUGCCCGGUUUUUAUGGGGUUGUUGUCCCGGGUUUAAGAUGCUACGAUGAUUGUAUGAAUGUGCAGAGUGUGUUGUGAUUGUAAUGCUCAGGGUCUGGGGUGGUUCUGCAGCUGAGGGCUGUAUCAAUUGUAUAGAGUGUAGGUUUUUCUCUUUUGGGGAGGAUUUUGUUAUGAUUUUCUAUAAUCUAAGAAUGUCAGAGCAAAAUCAUCUUGUACCGACCAGAGGUGAAUGUUUGUUCCCUCUGUCAUGAAUGCAACUGAACUUUCAAAAAUAAGAUGGAGUAGGAGCCUUGAAUUUUCUGAUCCUGUUGUCCCUACCUCAAGAGCACUUAUUUGGGCAUGAUUACCAGUAGUUCUUCCCUGAUGCAUUGUUACUAAAAAUUAAGUGCUUGAUUUCUGAAAAAUCACAGUUUGAAAUGCAGACCCAGAUAGGCCUAAGAAUGAUAAGGCAACCAUACUUAUGGACACAAUCCAAAUGCUUAAGGAUUUAACUGCAGAAGUGAGCAGGCUAAAGGAUGAGUGUUCAUCACUAACUGAAGAAUCACGUGAGGUGACAUUUUCUUAAUAUUGAGGCCUAUAGAGUAUGGCACUGUUACUUGCUUUUGAUAUUUACAUUUUUGUUCCAAACAGCUGACUCAAGAGAAGAAUGAGCUCCGAGAAGAAAAGGCAUCUCUAAAAGCUGAUAUUGAUAACCUUAAUGUUCAGUAUCAGCAAAGACUUAGGGUCAUGUUCCCAUGGAAUGGUAUUGAUCCUUCGGUUGUCAUGCCUCCACCUUAUUCAUAUCCAGUUCAUCUGCCUUUACCUACGGGCCCAAUUCCAAUACACCCCUCGCUGCAGCCAUAUCCACUUUAUGGAAAUCAUAAUCCAGGUGCCAUUGCCAAUCCCUGCUCAACCUUCAUGCCAUAUUCAGCCACCACUAAUACUCCAAUCGAUCAGCCAUCAUCACAACAUGCAUCCUCUUCCCACACUUCUAUCAAAAGAGAUUCUAGAAGCAAAUCGAUGGAUGAGCAAAGAGGAAGUAAUGGAGAUAGAUGUGAUGGUUCUAAUGAUGUGGCGACAGAACUUGAACUUAAAAUGCCUGGAUCAUCAACAAACCAGGUAAAUUUUAUCAGUCUACAACCCUGGUUAUAGUGUCUGGGAUGCUGAAAACUGAGUGUAACAGAAUUUUUUGUAUGCAGGAAUUGUCUGCUGGAGCAAAAAAAGGCAAGCAAACACAGAAGGAGAGAAGUAUGGUCAAUGGUAGCUCUUCAAGCCGGUACUCUUUAUCUCAAGGUCUUCAGGAUAGCUCCUCUGACAGUGUGGAUGAUGUUCCAAAUUCCAACAAGUGAACAACUUUUGUCUUGUUACUUUGACUAUUCACAGUGCUAGCAUCUCAAUCUAACAUGUCUUGACUGUGACACCGGGCAGCAUUAUCUUGAUUUCAGCUUAAACACGUUAAGUUCCGAGAACUAGUCUCCAAUAUGGAAGCAAGGGUUGUGUCAAAAGAAGUAUGGAAACAAGGGCGUAUUUUCUGCAUGCUGCCAGAUUCUUUUGCCAUUUGAAGGGUCUGGAAGAUGCACAUCUCUAUCACACUUCCAUAUAUUUGACUUAAAAACAAAAACUCUAAUCUUCCCCAUCUAGGUUAAACCAUCGGUAAAGCUUGGCCAGUCCUGGAUGAUUCCAUCCUUUAGGUGUAUGUGCAUUGUAAAUUCUUUCUGUUGUUAAAUACCAUUUGACAGUCAUUAUGAUUCUGUCAUGUUCAUUUACAAAAUCGAUGCAAUGAUCUGGAUAUGCUAUAAUGUCAUCUAGAAGAACUGCUGUAUUUUUUUUUUUUUAUUUGGGGUCAUGGAUAACCUGUUGUCAAUGGUGGAAACUUUGAUGAUCUGGCUGCAAGAUCUGCUUGUAGAUCAUAAUGGUGGCAUUUACAAUUCAUUGGAGAAGGUGUCAGGAGUCAGGAUAUCGGACCCCUUGAUGAAUAAUGAUUUUUCUUUUCCACCAAGUUUUCUUUUGAAAGUGAACCGUAAGAGACAUAUAACCAACCAUGGAAGCUCCACCGGCCCACUUGCCAUUGCGGAUGACUGAUACUAACUUUGCAAGCCACUAACACUGAUGGACUUCUUACCUUUCAAAAGGUCCAGCCGUUCCCACUGCAAUUAUUGCAGUUAAACAACUCUCCAAGCCUCCAACAAGUUGACACUGGCCUUCCUUUCGCUGUUAGCAGUCAUAAUUUACCAUUUUCUUUGCUUUAUUGGAUGAAGCAGCGAGGAAGUGGCUCUUGCUACUUGCGUUUUUGGCCGCAACAAGGGAAGCAAGUACGACUUAAGCCUCAUUUCGCAAUCAGGGUGCCCUGUAACAAACAGACUUCACGCCUAAUAUUAGCAGGAAAGAUGAUAACACCCUGCCCACGUGAUCCUCAAGAGAAUCAAAUCUAUCCUUCGACAUACAAGCUUGAUGGUUGGAUCGUUAAGUUUGUUUACUGAAGAGGAGCUGGCAAAGCUGAAAUUGGUACCACCCUUAGACCAGGGAAAGAUGCUGUUGCAUGGGGAGACAGAGUGUGCCAACCCCUGCAGCCCUGCCCAGCUUUGCUGUAUUAACCAUAUGUCUAAUGUAUUUCUGUUAGAUUUAAGAUUCUUAUCAACGUUCUUUAUGACCAGAAUACAGAGCAGUAACAAGAACACAGGUAGAGACGAUUAACAAGAUACUAUUAACACAUGGAAUAAAAUUCGGGUGCACCGUAAUUUCAUUGAUAAAUUAUUUAUAGUCACAUAUUACAAAUAUGGAGGGUACAAGAAGGAAAAUACCCAACCAACGAAUGUACACAGUAGGACCAUAUACCUGGAGCUCUCUCACUACCAGAGCCAACAUCAACUCUUAUAUCCAAAGACCUCUCAGCAGUGGAUUCCCCGAAGUGGGACGCCAUCACACAAAACUCGAGUCAAAAAGGGUCCCUAGAAUGCUGAUGGAGACAGGUAGAUGGGAAGCCUGCUUGGGGUCUUACAAGUACCAAGCAGCAAAAGCUGCUGUCUUUUCGUCUCUCCACCGAUCAACCCUCAAUAAUUCAAUUCCAACCUAUAACUUACAAGUAUUCCGCUGACCAGAUGGACUAGGUACAUUCUUUGAACCCAUGCUUGCAGUUCGUAGAAGUCGGCGAAAUUCUGAAAGGCUUAUUUUUCCAUCUUUAUCAAUGUCAGCCUCCUCAAGCAAAGGGUCAAUGGAACCUCUCAAGCCGGUGUGCUACAAAACAAUUGCACAAUGUGAAUUAUUACGCUAGUAACGAUUCCUCAUAAAAUGUUUAGAUAGAUAACACUUUUGAUAGCAAUGACAUUGGCCUCUUGGACACCAGGACACCCUAGACAAAAUUCAAGUUUUCGUAUAUUAUAAUAUUAAACCUAGCUUUCACCCAACGUCGCAUGGCUACACUGAAUUGCAGAAUUAGUGCAGUUGAUGACCACAGCAGAAUUACCAUAUUUCCUUUUCCUUUCUUUUUAGAAGGAAAAAGAUAAACGCCACAAAAUAAAACUUACCAUUCUAAGCUCCUCUGGAGUUAUAAAGCCGUCUCUAUCUACAUCAAAUUUCUCAAAAGCAGCCUGUGACCGCUGCUGCCAUUUAUCAGAAUCAUGUUCUUCCAUUUGAUUCACAUGUAGAGCAGCCGCAACAAACUCAGUGAAAUCAACAAGGCCAUCUGUGUUGCUAUCAAUCUGAGAUCAAAGAAAAUAAACAACUACACAACAAUCAAAACCACUAAAAGGAAAAAUACUACCAUUUACAAGAGAGAAAGCAAAGGGAAGAAAACAAGAAUCAGACAAAAAACAGGAAACCUGUACUCACCGCUUGAAGGAUCUCAAGAACACGUGAUUCCUUCAACUUCCAAGGAAGAUCUUUAGCAAGGGCCUGCACUGAAACCAUCCUUAUUAGGACUAAACUCUGUGCAACCUAAUAGACGUUUAUGAAAGAAAUGUUUACCUGUCUCAUCUCUUCAAGACUAAUAGAACCAUUCUUAUCCACAUCAAUUGCAUCAAACUGAUCCCGAAGAUCAGCUAUCUCCUCUUCAUUAAGCGUGCCAGCCAACGCCUACAAGUAAUAAUUAUUUUUAAAGAGAUGAACAAUGAAAGGAGGGAACAGUAGCCUCUAAUGCCCAUAAAAUAAUCCACCAAUAUUUGAAGAGGAAGAAAAACUGUUACCCUCAGAGCAAACUGCUUCAAUCGACUGUACUUCACAAAUUGCCGCAGGUUGUUCAGAACAGAUAUAUCAACAGGAAUCUCAGAUGCAUUUCCUCCUUCUCUAACCCAUGGGUGAGCUGGAGAAGUUGAACCAAUCAGAUAUUCUAGAAAUAAUAGGAGGAUAAAAUGAUAACACCGUAGAAGAUUUACUUUAGUAGCUAACAGCAAAGUUGACAUGUAAUACCACUUCCUUAGAGCUAGAAAGAAAAAAGGAAAAAGAAUAAUUUACUAAGAGAUGAUGUGAACACAUACAUAGGGCCUGAGCAGCUGUCAGUCUAGCCUGAGGAUCCUUCACCAAUAACUUCUUCACAAAGUCUUUAGCACUGUUGCUAAUUGUUGGCCAUGGUUUACGACGAAAAUCAGGCUUGUUCUUCAAAACCUGAAGUUAUAGACAGUUGCAUAAGAAUUCUCCAGAAAAUAUACGUAUUAUCAAAAAAACAGAAGAUAACACAUCUUAGACACAAAUAAUUAAGUGAAUUUCAUAGGAAAAAGCAUGAUUAUUCAGGGAAAACAAAAGCCAGCUAGAGUAACUUGGAGGGUGAACAUAAUCUCCAGAAUUCUUCCAUACAUAACUAGAGCAUAAAGGGUAAAAUGGAGUGCACAGGAUUCCACAAGUAUGGUCAUCAGUUCAUGUGAAAUGCACAUGGUGAAGAAACAAGUAAAGCACAAUGUAGUUUUCUGUCUACAUAUGAUAAUAAUAUAAUAAAAUGACAAAACCCAUAAAAAGCAGUGAAAAAAAAAAAUCAAAGUCCAUGAUUAAAAUGUAGUCACCUCCUUAAAUAUGCCAUCCUCUGUCUUAUCCCAAAAGGGCCGUUUCCCACAGAGCAAAAUAUAGGUAAUCACACCAAUACUCCAUACAUCUGAUUCAGGCCCUGACCUUCGUUUUAAUACUUCAGGAGCAACAUAGUAGGCACUGCCAACGAUAUCUUGAAACCUCUUCCCUGCAUUUGGUAAUAGCUUAGGAUUGUAUGGCUUGGAUUUUUGUGGCAUGAGGAUUAUAAAAUUAGCAAGUAGAAGAGGGUGUAUGUAUAAAGACAAGAGUUGGAAAAAUGAAAAAUGCAGAAUAGAUGGAUUAAUGGAUCACAUUAAUUUAAAAAAAAAAUUCAAUCAUGAGCAAUGACAAGAUCUCUACAUAAGCAAAUACCACUCACCAGGUCUGAUAAAGUCUGACAAACCAAAAUCUGUAGCCUUCAGAGGUGAGUCCGCUCUGGUUGACUUAAAUAGGAAAUUCUACAGGCAAGAAACAACAAAGGAACCAUUAGUAAGCAGCAUGACUUCCUAAAGAGGAAGUUUACAAGUAAGCCAUGUUAAUGUACUUGAGCAUACCUCGGGUUUCAUGUCACGGUGCACCAAGCCACGCAAAUGACACUCAGCAGCAACUUUGAGCAUCUGCCGUACAACUACUGCUGCAUCCUUUUCACUAUAACGACUGUCCUUUCUGACAGAAGAUGGCAAACAUAAGGUACUACUGGUUGUGACACUAUUCGAAACAUCAACAGAAAGAAAGUACUGACAACUAUAUUUGGACCAUAAAAACACAUUAUUUAGCAGUAACAGCAUCCCAAAAUCAAUUAACUAAGCAUCCUUACUUGGCUAAUAUCCGGUCCAGCAAUUCUCCACCCUCACAUAACCUAGCAUCAGACAGCAAACAAAUAAUAGAGUCAAGAGAUAGGAGGAUUGAAAUGAAAGUAUAUAAUUGCAGAGCCAAAACCAAAGAUAUUGCCAAGGCAAAACUAAACAUCAGAAGACAUGAAAAAGGAAAUGACACAAUUAAGAGAAAAUCAGAACAAAAUAGAGAACCAGAAAAGAAGAUAAAAAUUAUGGAAACUUACUCCAUAACAAUGUAUACAUAGGAAUCAUCCUCAAAUGCAUUAUAGAACUGAACCACAUUCUCAUGGCCUUUCAGGGCUUCCAAUAUCUUGACCUCUCGCUUGACAUCCUCAACAGCAAUGGGAAGAACCAUCUGUGCCCAACCCAGGGAUUUAAAAGAAGAAAAAGAAAAAAAAAAUGUCCCACUUCAAGGUGGACAAGGAAAGAAUCUAAUGCCUCUAGAAUUCUUUAUCAGUUAAAUACUUAACCAUCAUCCACGAUGCAUCUAUGGUAAUGGCAGAAAUAGUUAUUGCACAACUAGAUAGGAAAACAAAAAGUCUUUCCAUUCGCAUAACCUCAUUUAGAAAACUAAGCUCUCUACAACAAGCUAUUUCGUAUCAGCUACAAAGUUUAGCAGGCAAUAAAGAAAUAAAAAUUGCCAACACUGGAACACUUUUCUUGCUCAAAGGAACAUGGUUGCUACUCAGAACAGUUCGUUAUGCAUUUGGAGAUAAGAAAAAAAAACAUGGAAAAUAAAGCAACACCCCAUCACGAACGCAGAGCAAGAGACAUUGAACUUAUGAAAUUUACAAUAGUUAAUUUAGUGGAACUACAACAUCUUCUUGUUGAUCUCCCCACUAUGCUUCUAUGGAAUUCAGUGUCAGCCAGAACUACAAAAUACACGCAGGUUAAAGGUUGCAGCUUCACAUCAAAAGUACCAAUUACGAUGACAAUCAAAUUCAAUCACUGCAAACUUGCAAUCACAAAUUGCUAAAAAGCAAGCUCGCCGUACCAAGAUCUCAAAACUGUAAUAAGAUUGUCAAGCCGAAGAAAGAUGCAACAUCCUCAAAGCUCAACGAGGUUAUUGCGGAUCCUCCACCAACUUUUGCCAUACUUAAGACAAUGAUGCCUCUAAUUACGAUCAACCAGGCGGGAAAAAAAGUGAAUUCUCCCAUCAUUAGAUUAGAAAACAGAGAAGAGAAAAGUUCUCUUAGACUUGCUUCAUGUUCAAGACAAAGCAAAUUAAUAUAUAAAAAAUCAAUAAGGAAUCCAAAGCAGAAGCCAAAAUUCCCUUAACGCCACCAUUAUCAAAAAUUCCAAUCCAAAUUAAACUCCAAAAAACCCCACUUUUAAUUUAUCAGAUAAAAAUAUCGCCUUCCCUCCCCCCGAAGAAAAAUCCCACCUUGAAUAUCACAGACAACAUAUAUAACCACAAAGAACAGUGAAUCAGAAAAAUCCCAAGAACCCAGAAGCAUAAACAACAGAAGGAUUACAAAAACAUUAAAAAAACAAUACCUUAUUUUUCUCAAUUUUCUUAACGGCAACCCGAUCCCCAUUUGCCUUGUCCGUGGCAACAUAGGUGUAACCAAAUUGUCCAUGUCCCAACAAUUUCCCAAUCGUGUAACGCUUAUCAAAAUCCUUAUGGUACCCAAAAUCCGUACGUUUCCCACACGGGAUGAUCCCACUCUGCCUCCUCGCACUUGGUUUCCCUUUGACCUUUAAAGGCUGAGAAUUCCUCACCUGCUGCUGCUGCUGACCCUGUUGACCGCUAGGCUUUUGAGACUCUUUUUUCUCAUUUGUCAUCGUUGUGGUGGAUUGUUGUUCUUUGCGGUGGUUCACGCCGGCGUUGCUGCUUGAGCCACUGACUUUGGUGGUAGAGAGACAGGCUCCCAUGAUGAUAGCAAGCAAAAGAAGAAAGCAGAAGAGGAUAUCAAAGGAAUGAGCUUCAAAGAUGGAAUUCCAUGGGAAAAAAAAGGAGAAAUGAAAUAAAUAGAAAAAAGGGCAAAUGAUUAAGCCCCCACGAAGAGAAAGAGAAAGAGAAAGGAAGGAAAUGAGAUAGGAAAGAAGGGAGGAAGAAGGGAAGAAGGAGAGGGGCGUGAUGGUGGUGCUGCCAUGGUCAAAAGAGACUUUUUAUUUUUAUUAUUUAUUUUAAUAAUUAUUUUAUUUUUAUGACCAAAAAAAAAAUAUCAAUGAGGUUUCUUUUUUGGUUUUUGUUUUUUUUUAAAUAACAGAAAAACAAAAAAGACAAUUUAUUUUUCUCAUUGAUUGACAAAAUAUUGGAUUCCAAUACCUGAAUUAACUGCUUAUCUAAUUAUACCUUUAAUCUUCAUCAUGCUGCCAAAUUUUAAUCUUUUUAGAUUUUCCCUUUUAGUUUUAACAACUGAAAAUUAUUUCAUCAUUUUUUCUGUCUCAUCAUUUCCAUUUCUAGAAGGGAAAAAUGCAUUUCACAUUUUGGAAUUAAUUUCAAAUGGGUCUUUCCCCCCUUGUCUUGUCAUCAUUAAAUAAAAAUUAUUAAGAGUAAUCUAUUUUUAGAAGCAAUUGAUGCAUUGAUCUAAUCAUAAAGUAUCAUUACGUAAAUAUGCAAAAUAAAAAUUUGAUAGUGAUUCAGAAUAAGUAUUUUUAAUUUUUUUAAAAUUUAUUUAUUAAUAAAAUGAUAACAAAAUAAAUAAAUUACCAUUUACAAUUUAUUCAAUCAAGUAAAUAAAGAAACAUUGGUAAGAUUGGCCUUUCUCUUUUUGGCCAAAACAAACCAUUGGCCUUACAAAGACCAGAGCUUAUGCAAAAAUCAAAAAUCAAAAAUAAAAACUCGAGAUCAUAAUAAAAUUUUACAUUUGGAUUCAUAAUAAAAUUUGUAAGAUUUAUUUAUCCAUAUAUGAUUUUAGAAACAAUGUACCAUCAAAAUUAAGGGCAAAUCGCUUUAUGAAUAUAGGUGUACCAGUCUUGAGUGGUUGCUAUCUAAGAAUCCCUUUAAUAAUUACAAUUUUACUUUUUUUUUGUCAAAAAAUAAAACAAGCAUCAAAUCCAAUUUUUUAAUAUAAAAAAAUACAUCAAUUAUUGAGUUUUAUCAAUCUAACACUUGGCCAUGUAUAUCAAGACAGAAAUAUGAUAUAAGCAAAUUAGAAUUGUUGACAAUUUUCUUUAAUUUUGUUGAUUUAUAAACGAAUUUUACAUACGUAUCAAAUUAUCAAUAUAUUACAUACUUUUCAUUUUAUCAUAUUAAAAUUUUUGAAAAUAAAAUAAGAUAAUGAAUGAAAGCAACAUGCAAACUUUUAAUGUUUAAGAUGAUUUGGUUGAUAUACUAGUCAAAUAAGCAUCAAAAAGAAAUAACCAUGGCUUUAGUACAAAAUUUGCAUGAGGUUUCUUGUUUCUCACUAUAAAAAGAAUUAAAAAGAAAAUAUUCAAUCAAACUAAAUUAAUAAAUGUUCUUGAACCAAAGCAUUUCGAAAGCAGAAGUCUAAUUAAGAUUAAUGUUCUAAGUUAGGAAGCUGUCGGUGUGUCAAAAUAUGUUAUGGUCAAACUCUCCCACGUUUGAUUUUAUCACACCGUCAUCCGAAUGCUGCUGCCAUUGUCUCUUGUAAAGUUUCCAUAUUUACCUGUCUCUGACAGCCUCUCACUGCUGUCCCAAGGACUUUCACCUGCCUGGAAAAGUGAUUUAAGAUUGAUUAACCAGGGGAAAUUGUUGUUUGGAUUCCCUGUUAAAUUGGGUUUCAAUCGAAGUUUGCUCCCGGGAUUGAAUUUGCAUCCAGUUUUCUUGUUGAUUAUCGUGACAGAGUGAAGAAG